GCUUGAGCUGACUCCUCGAUAGUUAAAACAAAACAAUAUAUAUAUUCCAAUUUCUAACGAGAGCUUUGGAAGAAUUAAUCAUUUACCACUAAAAAAAAAAAAAAGACAAUUAGGAAAUCUAUUUUCCAAAAAGUCAUGAAUGUUUAAAGGCUAAGCCUAGCUACCAAGCAUUAUCUUAAGUAGUGCUUUCAUAUUUAUCUUCUUGACAUUGUGCUUCUACAAUAUAUUUGAAAAAAAAAUUCUUCCGUUGACUUAAAGAUAUUUUUUUAAAAAUAAUUUUUAUUUAUUAAAUUUUUAAUUGAUAUUAAUGAUGACCACUCAAAUUGGGGUACACCACAUAAAAUUGUUUUAGUUACUUCAUUUACAAAUAUGUAAUAAUUUUAGUAGGUCUUUUUUUUUAAAACUAUUUUCCUCUUAUGAAAAAAUAGGAUGGUAUAAAUCAAUUAAUAUGUUCAUAUUUAGUGUAAUAAUAUUGCUCAUAAGUCUCUUGAUGGAUUAUCCAAAUGUUAAUGAUAUUGAAUACCAUAAAGAAUUUAAGGUCUAUUUGAUAACGACUUUCAAAAACAGUUUUUAAAAAUUGUUCUCUGAUUUUUUAUAGAACAAAAAUCUGUUUUAAAAACCUAAAAUAUUUUAAUUAUGUUUUUAUUUUAAACAUGUUUUUAAAAUAAUUUUUAUAUCUAAUAUUUUAUUUUUAAUCAUAUAAGUUGAAAACAACAUAAAAUAUAAAAUAACUAAAUAUGUUAUUUGAAAAUACCUUGUUUUGAACAUAAAACAUAAAAUAAUUUUUGGUGACAACAUGUUUUCUUGUUUUUUUGUUUUAAAGAACAAAAAAUUAUUUUUCAAAAUAGUUGUCAAACAAACCCUCAUAUUCCUAUUCCUACACUAAUUAUCAAUUAAUUUUUAUAUAAGAUAGUUAAUGACGAAUCUAAGAAUUAAUAGAGAUCAAAACCCGAUAAUUUUAUCUAUACUACUAAGCUAAACACAUAUUUUUAAAUAAUUUCAUUUUUUUAAUCAUAAAAAGAGUAUGACCAACAAUCUUCACUAAAUAAAAAAAUGCUAUUCCUCCCAUGUUUAAAAAUAUAUAUAUAUAUAUAUAUAUAUAUUUUUGACUCAUAAAUAUGUUUUUCAACUAUUAUAAAACAGAAUGAAAUUGCUUUUGACUAGAAUCAUGAAUUGGGAGAUGACUCAAGUCAAUCAAACGCAUGUUUAGGGGUCAAAUAUAGACCAUUUCCAUGGUCAAAAUCAACCUUUUUUUUUCAAAAAAAUAAAAAUCCAUUUUUGAUAAAUUAUAUAAAUCUAUCUUAUAUAUUUUCUCUUUUAAACGUUAUAUCUAUUAGUGUAAAAUAUUUUAAAUAGCGGUGUUUAUAGGGUAAAAGGAGCAUAAAUUUCGUAUUGAUGUAGUAUUUGUUCAUAAGAUUUUAAAAAAAUUUAUUAAAGGCUUGAUGAGUUUUGAAUUUAUUAAGUCUUUUAAUUCUGGUUGGCCCUACUUUUUAAUAUAAAUUGAGAAUUAGUUCACGAGCGUGAGGGUAAUUUUUUUUUUUUUAAAUUUAUCAAUUUUAAGAUAAAUUUGAGGAUAAAAAUACAAAUAAUUUUUCAUAACAUGCUUCUUCUGAGGCUCACGUGCCCAAUACAGGGCUAUAAUUGCCACAAAAAAAAAUAAUACACAAAAUAAUGAUGAUUUGUUAUUCAGAUCCAAUGGCUGAGAUUCCACAUGGGGUUCAUUUGAGUGGUGAAGGACCCACAUCCUCAUCAUCACUCAUGAGGUCCAGCUAGACCAGAUCACCAAAUUCUCUCAGUUGUGGGCCACCCACUCUCAUGUGAGGGAAGUGUAGCACACGGUCCUAAGGAAAGGAGUGGGAUAAUAAUGUGGCAAAGUGCCCAUUUGUCUCCUCAUUAAGUGUGGGUGUUAGUCUAACUACCUUUCUCUUGGGUCCAAGUUGGUGAAAGGCUGCUUUCUUACUUUUUAGGAUUUUUUUAUUUUAAUAAUAAUUAUUUUUAAAUAAAAUUAUUUGUUUAUUUUAUUUAUUAGAACUAUUGAAAUCUAUCCCGACAAUAUCCAUAUCAAAGAUUCUAAUUGUAUAAUAUUUUAUGAUCAUUCAAGAAUCAAGAGAAAAAAAAAUGAAAAUAAUGAAUAAUAAAGGUAGUGAUCCAAAAUAAUAAUUUUUUAGUCAUUAAUUAUUAUUUUUAUGUACAUCUUAUAACUUAUCAAACGUUUGAUAAAAUUUAAUAUUUAUUAUUUAAUAAUUUAAAUUGAUUUUUAAGUUAAAUUAUACUUAAAUUAUUAAUUUAAAUUUAUUAUUUAAUUUUUAUUUUAAUUAUUAAGAUUGUUUCAUAAAUUAAUUUAAAAAUUAUUUUGAAUCAUCAAAUUGAUAUGUUUAUCCUUAUAAAUUAUAACUAAGGUAAAGAUGAUCGAGUAAUAAUAAAUGUUGUGAAGUAGCAAAUGAGUUAUUUAUUAUUUAAAGUUAUUUAUUAUUUAUUAUUUAAAUAAUAAAAAACUAAAACGAAGAUGAAUGUUUAAAAAUAAGUUAUUUAUUAUUUAAAGUUAUUUUUUACUUUAAAUCAUACCAUUAAGUCAUUUUAUUUAAUAUAUAUAAUUUUUUUAAUAACUUAAAUUAAGUUAUUAAAUCACUUUAAGUUAUUAAGUUGGUUUACCAAACACCCCCUUAGUAUUAAUAUCAACAAUGAUAAAACAAAAAAAAUGUAAUAUGCAUAAUAAGAUAUUAUAUUUGUAGAAUAAUUCAUUAGUGAUAAAUAGAUAAAUCCAACUUAAAUUAGUAAAUAAAGUUAAAAUCAUGGAAUUUUAAAAAUUAAUGAUAUGUUUGGUAACAUUUAAAAAAAUAUUUUUUUUAUAAUAAUUUUGAAACAAAAUGAUCCUAAAUUAUUUUCAAGAAUAAAUAUGAAAAACAAUUUUCUUCAUUUAUUCUUAAUAAUGCCAAUAUAAAUGUUUUCAAAAUAUUCUUUUAGUUAUUACUACAUCUUUGCAAAAAUAAAAAAAAUAAAAAUUAAAAAUACAUCAAAAUUAUUUUUUUAAAAAAAUUGGUUUGAGAAAAAAAAAAAUAUUUUAAGACAAAAGUUUGAUAAAUCUAUUUUCAAAAUUAGAUGAUAGUUUUCUAUUCUAAAAAAUAGUUCCAAAUUGUUAGUAUGUUUAGCUAUGAAUUAAAAUGGAUAGGUUGGCAAUACAAAAUGUAUGAAAUGGUUGAAUAGUUUUCAUUUCCAAUUGAAAAUUUGAAACCUAAAUUUAAAAUUAAAGAAAAAAAAUCAUCCAAAGAAGUUGCCAAGCAAAAGGAUCCAAAGUGCAGUAAAGACCACGCUCUUGUUCAUGUCCCAAAAGUAUGAACACAAACAAUCAUAACCCACCUCAUAUUUUCCCAAUUUUCUCAGCACAUCACCAUCCUCCUAACCCAAUAAUGAUCCCAUAACAACAAUAACAAAACCCCACAAAAAAUCAAACUCAGUUUCAUAUAUAUAUAUAUAUAUAUAUAUAUAUUUAUCAGUUUGUUUGUACAAUACACAUGUAAACACAAAUACAAAUAAGUCUUCCCAUUGAAGUAAAGUUUGGUUGAAGUUGGAGGCAUAUUGAGUAGGAAAGUGGCCAACCUCCCCCCCCCUCUCUCUCUCCCUCUCUCUCUCUCUCUCUCUCAUCAUCAUCAUCAUACCGAAAGAAAAGAAAAUUAUAUAUCCCACAAAAGGUGCAAGGUGGGAAAGAAAGUGAAAAUUCUUGAGGAGAACCAUAUUCAAAGUAAAGGGAAAGAUAUAAGCCAAAAAACAAGAACAUAUAGCUUAAAGUUUAUAGGAAGGAAGAGAAGGGUUGGCUCAUCUUCAUCUCUCCUCCCCCUGCCCCUCUUCUUUUGGUUGCUUCAGCCUUUUCUGAAAGUGGGUUUUCAAGGGUUUCAACAGUUUUGCCUUCACAAGGUACAAAAAUUAGGGGUGAUCUCUUUUGGGUUUUUGCUAAUUCUGAUUUUUGGUGGAAAUGAUUACUGUAAUUUUCCAAAAGGUGAAGUCUCUUUUCUCUUUUCUGUUGUUGCAGGGGUGAGAAGUUGUGUUGAUAUGCUUGGUGGGUUCAGGUAAUUCUCCAUUUUUUUUCUUUUCUUUGGUAAAUUUCCUUUUGUUCUUGGGGCAGAUGCUGGAUUCAGCAGCUAGAAUUGUGAGUUUUGUGUGGAAGAAAGUUACUGUUUCUGUGAUAUUUCCUGGGUAUUUUGGCUCAAAAUUCCACCUUUUUUUAGAAGGAAACUUUGGGAUUUGUAAAAUAAAUUCAGUUUAUUAUCUUCUGAAGAAAGCUUCAAAGGUGUCUGUGUUCUGUUUUUGGAUUUAAAAAUCAAGUAUGAAGCUCAAGUUUCUUCACACUCCUCCGUAUAAAUAUAAUAUAGUAUGUAUAGGGAACUUGUUUUUUGUUUCCUCUAUAUUUAUAACUUUGGUGGAUAACCUAGACUAGAGGUGUGGCCUUGAUUCCAAAAAACCCCUGGUGUGUGAUUUUUCGGGUCAUUGGAUAAUUUUUCGGGUUUUUGAUAAUUAAUCCUAUAACCGAGAACCGAAUCAAGAAAAAUACAAAAGGGUCUAGAUAUUGAGGCAAUCGCAGAACAAAAGGGUGUAGAUGGACAAUCCAUCAAAUUAUUCUUUUCGGGUAAUAUUUGAGUUGAUAAAUAACCUAGACUAUAGGUGUGGCCUUGAUUCCAAAAAAGAGAAAAGAAAAAAUCCAGUAAGCCUUGAUGUGCGAUUUUCGGGUUUUCAAUGAAUUCGAAAAAACAAAUCAAAAACAAUACAAAAGGGUCUAGAUAUUGAGAUGAUCACAAAACAAAAGGAUUUUAGAUAUUGAGACAACUCAUUUCAUUAUUCUUUUAGUACAACACUUGAGUUGGUGAAUAUCCUAUAGACUAGAGGUGUGGCCUUGAUUCUGGGAAAAAAACCCAUUAUGCUUUGUUGUGUGAUUUUUCAGCCUUUUGAUUAACCCGAAAACCAAAUCAAGAACUAUAUGAAAGGGUCUUAGAUAUUGAGGCAAUUCAUCUCUUUAUUCUUAUAGUAUGAUACUUGAUCUGGUCAAUAACCUAGACUAGAGCUGUGGCCUUGAUUCCCAACAUCCUUGUGAGCUUUGUUGCAUGGUUUUGUGGGUUUUCGAUCAAGCUGGAAAUGUUCAAUCCAAAAAGGUCCAGAUAUUGAGAUGAUCACAAUAAAAAAGGGUCUAGAUACCGAGACAGUUUAUCUCAUUAUUCUUUUAGUAUAAUAAUGAAGUAGAGCUUCGUGUCAGGAAAAGUUGAGAAAGAUUUUUGUACGAUUUCUGAUAUUAGUCAAUUUUCUGUUUUUGUAGUUGGGUCUGAGGAUUCUUAUUUGUUUAAUCUGUUUUCAGGUUUUCCACGGUGCGAUGGUAAAGCCCAGAACAUGGGAAAGAAAGGGAGUUGGUUUUCUGCAAUCAAGAGGGUUUUCAUACCCAACUCCAAAGAGAAACUAGUCAAUGUAAGUAGAUAGAUUAUCCAUGGUGUUUAGACACUUUUUUUGGGUUCCAACCUCCAAAAUCCCUGGUUUAGCUUCCUCCAGAAUGCUGGAAAUGCCUCCAUGCUCGAAAAAUUAUGAAACAGGACUUGUAAUAAGUCAUUUGAUUUUGGAAUUAUUAUGAAUUGUUGUAGGGAACAGAGAGGAAAAAUGCGAAAGAGAAGAAAAAGAAAGGGCGAGAUACACAUUCUUUUAUUCCGCUCUUCAGAGAGCCAAGUAGUAUUGAAAAAAUAUUAGGGGAUGCUGAAAGAGAGCAGCAAAAUAAGAUAUUUCUUAGGCCUCCAACGCCUUCUGAGACACCAAAAGUACCAACUCCUGUGCCUCCUAGAGUUUCCUCUCCGAGGGUAACUUCUCCAAGGGCUGCUGCUUCACCGAGGGCUGCUGCUUCACCGAGGGCUGUUGCAUCACCGAGGGCUGUUGCAUCACCGAGGGCUGCUGCUUCACCAAGGGCUGCGUCUCCUCGGGCUUUUCAUCAUCACAAGGAAGUCAGCUACAGACCCGAACCAACUCUCAGGAAUCACCAUAUUGCAGCUAUCAGGAUCCAGACAGCAUACAGAGGUUAUAUGGUAAGCUUCCACUCUUUCUUGUUUGUUGGAGAAAUUCAAGCAAAUCAUCCCCAUGGAAGUUGGGCUUUGAUUUUUAUACUCCUGUUGUAGAAUAAUGGCAAAUCAAACAGGAAAGCUUUACAACAUGGGAAUAUAACACAACUCAAAUUUAAUUAUUUUUUGAGUAAUUGAAAUGAUUCUAAUUUAAGCUGAAUUUUGCCAGAUGAUCUUACCAUGAAAUGAUUCACUGAUGUGAUUUUUUCAAUGUAGGCAAGGAGGAGCUUCAGAGCACUCAGGGGUCUGGUGAGGCUACAGGGAGUCGUGAGAGGCCAGAAUGUGAAGCGCCAGACAACAAAUGCAAUGAAAUGCAUGCAGCUGUUAGUGCGGGUUCAGUCACAGAUUCAGUCCCGGAGGAUCCAGAUGUUAGAAAACCAGGCACUCCAACGUCAAUCUCAAUACAAAAAUGACAAGGAACUGGAGAGCAGCAUAGGCAAAUGGGCCUCAAGCCAGCCAGUAAGUUUCCCUUUGUUUGAUUUAGUGUUGGAUUGUUUUUCAUUAUUAGAAGAGCACAUGCUUAAGGAUCAUUUGAUCGCUAUAGUCAAAGGGAAGACACUCAUCUACAUGAAAUCAUGCUUGUUUUUCGAUUUUGUUCUGUGUUUCAAUUAAGAUUAGUACAAUUGAUGAUGGGAUGGCAUUUGUACAGUCUGAGGCAGGUAACAAUGAAGACUGGGAUGAUAGCCAGCUGACGAAAGAGCAAAUAGAAGCUAGGUUGCAGAAAAAGGUGGAGGCAGUCAUCAAGAGAGAAAGAGCCAUGGCCUAUGCAUAUUCCCACCAGGUACUACUCUAUUAAUAUUAUUGGACAAUCAAUUUUUCGACAAGUUUAGGUUUUUACAAUUGGGGCAUACAAUGUAAAUAACAUUUUCUAACACCCUCCCUCACAUGCGGUCUCAUGCUUGCAUGUGGAGAAACAAAUAGUCCAAUAGGCAAAGAGCUCAAUAAAUUCAGGGAAAUAAAAGUUGCUGUGAAGUUUGAGUCUAUGACCUUUCUUUAAAGGGGGUUCUAAUACUGUAUCCGGUAACCAAUUUUCCCACAAGUUUAAGCUUUAAGGUUCAAGUCAUAAUGUAUAUCAUUCUUUCUAAUAGAUGCUACCCAGUUCAUAUUUUAUUUUAUCAUGUCGGAUAGGCUUCACUAACCCGAAUGACUUUUAGGCCUGGACAUUAGGAUACUGUUUAUCCAAUCAAGUAAAAUUUUAGUUCUGGUUGCCCUUUUCCAGUUCUUACACAGAAUAGAUUCCUGCACUCUCUAUACCUUUUCAAUUAUCUGAUAUCGUUUUAUGAUUUCACUAACCUGUGUUGACAGUUGUGGAAAGCCACCCCUAAAUCAGCUCAAGCAUCUAUAAUGGAUAUCCGAUCUGGGGGAUUCCCAUGGUGGUGGAACUGGUUAGAACGUCAGCUCCCUCCGGCAAAUCCUCCUGAAAGUCAAGCCACCAAGAGCAUCCUACUAACACCCACAAGACCGACUCCAGAUCUCAGGCCAAGUCCUCGACCCCAAGCAAGCAACUACAGGCAACAGAGUUUCGGGUUUGACAAUCUUGAGUCACUCACACCAAAGUCCUCAAAAUCAGCAGUACCUGCAAGAGCAAAGACCCCUCCAAAUAGAGUGCCACAAGCGAACGGCUCAAAUCUAUCAAGAUAUCCAAAGCCGAGAGCUAGUGCAGCUGAUUCUACCUUUGAUGUGCCACUGAGAGAUGAUGAUAGCCUCACCAGUUGCCCGCCAUUUUCAGUUCCAAACUACAUGACUCCAACAGUGUCAGCUAAAGCCAAAGUGAGAGCUAACAGCAACCCCAAGGAGAGGUAUCCAGUGACUCCCAGUGCUGAAUCAAAGAGGCGGCUUUCGUUCCCUUUGGGUCAAGGCAUUGGGUCUUUCAAGUGGAACAAAGGCACCUUGUUCUCUAGCAAGGAUUCCACCUCUCAGAGGGUGAUAGAGAGGCACCAGUCUCUGCAAUCUACUGGGAAUUUGAGUGUGGAUUCGACCGUUUCUUUGCCAGCUACAGUUGGGAGGAAGCCAUUUAACCGAUUUGUGUGAUCUCUUUACCCUUUUCUUUUGUUUUCUCAACCUUCUAAAUUUCAUAUUUGGCGAGUCUUUUCUUUUUUUCUUCAUAUUGUUAAUUGAGUGUAUGGUGAUAUCUUUACAAAUUACUGAUGUAUAAUAAUAAAGAUACAGUACUAGGAAUUGAUGGUUUGAAUGUAAGAUGAUUUGGGUUUUCAGAAGAUAUCUUGUUACAUUUCCUUUUGGAUUUCGAUAGCCUAAAAAGCAGGCCUUAUUUUCUGUUUGGUUGUUGAGAAAGUAGAGGAAAAAAACAUUGUGGUGUUUGGGACUCUAUUGAGGAGAGGUUUAAAAGGAAAUUAUCUGUAGAAAAAACACUACCUUUCCAAAGGAGGAAGACUUGUCCUUUUAAAGAGCAUUAUUUCAAAUCUCCCUGUUUAUUUUAUGUCCCUCUUUGUUAUUCCUAGAAAAGUGAGAAUUGGAUUAGAGAGAAUUCAAAGAGACUUUUUAUAGGGAGAUUUGAGAGAUAGGAGCAAGAUCUACUUGGUAAAAUGGUUAGAGUUAUUCCUAGAAAAGUGAGAAUUAUAUUAGAGAGAAUUCAAAGAGACUUUUUAUGGGGAGAUAGGAGCAAGAUCUACUUGGUAAAAUGGUCAGAUGUUUGUAAGGUUAAAAUUUUUUGGAGGUUUGGGGAUAAGAAGACUAUAUAGUCUCAAUCAAGCUUUGUUAGGCAAAUGACUAUGGAGAUUCUCUGUUGAGUGUGAAAGUUUGUGGAGGAAGAUCAUUUGUGGAAAGUUCGGGGAGGUGGAGGGGGGUUGGACUACUAGAUUGUGGAGGGAGUCCUUUGGGAAGACAUUAGAAAAGAGUGGGAAGAGUUUAUUGCUAGAACUUCUAUCUAUAUAGGAAAUGGUAGUCAUACAAGCUUUUGGUGGGACACGUGGGUGGGGGACUUCAAGCUAAAAGAUGUUUACCUUACUAUUUUUAGGAUAACUUCCCAUAAAAAUGCUAUAGUUGCAAAAUCUUGGAAAAGAGAAGGGGAUGAAGGGGGUGUUGGGAGGUUCAUUUUAGAAGACCCUUCCAAGAUUGGGAGGUAGAGGAGGUGACCCACUUUUAGGGUUCUCUUGACUUGUUAAAAGUACAAGAAGGUGAGGACACUUUAUGUUGGAAAGAAGAUGUUAAGUCUUAUUAUUGUUCUCUAAGUGGGGAGAAUAAUUUUGUUUUUCCGGGGAAGGAGGUUUGGGGAUCCCAUGCUCCUCUCAGAACUUGCUUUUUUGCUUUGGAAGCUAUUUGGGGGAAGAUCCUAAUUAUAGAUACCUUAAUGAAAAGGGGAUGACAAAUAGUCAAUAAAUGUAAUCUAUGUAAAGAGAGUGAAGAAUUAGUCAAUCACAUUCUGAUUCAUUUCGUCAAGACAAGAAAGCUUUGAACCUUUUUAUUAGCCUUCUUUGGAGUGACAUGGGUAUUUCCAAAUUCAGUAAUAAAUCUCCUUCUUCAAUGGAAAGUUAAGGGGUUGCAAAAGAAGAUUAGAGCAUUGUGGCGCUUAGCUCCCAUUUGUUUAUUUUGAUGUGUUUGGAAAGAGCAUAAUCGAAGAACCUUCAAAGAUGAAUAUCUCUUUGACCAGGGUUUAAAGGAUCUCUUCUUUCGAAUUCUUUUUGAGUGGACUAGGGAUUCUUUGGAGCUGAAUUUCCCCUCUAUGUUGAUUUUCCUUGAUACUCUUUUUUGUGGUUAACUUUGCUGUGUUUUGUUUGUGGUCUUUCUUUGGUUGAGGUGUGUUUGGCUUGUUUCUGUGUAUACAACCUAUAUACGUAAGGCGCCCCCAACUCUUUUUUGGUGCUUAUUAAUGCAUGCUCUUGUUGUCUACAAAAAAAAAAAAAAAAAAAAGGAAAGUUCAGAAAAAAAGGUCAAUAUUUUCACUAUUGAAUUUGUUGUUCUUUUGGCUUAUACUCAUAAAACAAUGCCAAAAUAAUGCAGAAAGACCUCCUGUGAUGAACUUGUCUAAUUUUGGCGUGUCUCCUUUUUCUUCUGAGUUGUCUUACAGAGAAAAAUAUUAUGAAUCAUGGAAGUAGCACCUUCUGAGUUGUCUUAUAAAGAAAAAUAUUAUGAAUCAUGGAAGUAGCAGCUAGGGCAACUUAAAGCAUGCAUUGUUCGCAAAUUGACAAACAAUUUAUCUCAAUUUAUUUUAGGCUAGAAUUUCAACACCCCAUUACACAUUCACCCUCUUCUCAACCAUCUCCGCGUGGUUGUUGUUGAUAGCGAAAUUCCUUCACUGCAGUAGCAAGUACUAGCAACAGAAUCUCGAUCAACGCAUUACAGUGAUCCUUCCUUCCUCCUGCAAAAAGAUGUCCGGAUGGGUUGUCCGGACACACUCUCCGAUGAUUAAGUUAGUCUUUUGGAAGCUAUUUGAAAACAAAUUGUUCCUUUGGGAGUGUUGCUCCGUGAUUUUCUUCAAGGAUCCUUACCCUCCUGAGAGUCUCCUUAGAGUUUAUAUAUGAUUCAGAGAGUAUGGCCUCGCUGUGCUAACGGGUCCCAUCGUCAUGAUUGCGGCUCAUAGGGUGGUGAAGCAAUCAUGACCCUUUUGGUGCGAGGUGGCGGCUGUCAGAAGGGUAUUCAGGCGGCGGUGGUCACCUCAAUUUAUGAUUUUAGGUACCGGGGAUGCGUCAGGCAAUCUGAGAAGAUUUGGGAAUGUCUUGUCGAGCGUAUCUCGUAUUGAAGAUGAGUGAUAGUUCAGGAGACUUGGUCGACAGUAUUGUUGGAGUUUGCUUCUUGAUUGUGGGCAGAAAUGGAUCCGGCAAAUCAUGAGUGUUUGACGAGUCAAGUUGUCCAGGGAAUCUGAAUCGUUGACUGCGGAUGUACUCCGGGUAAGCGUUACCAAAGGAUCCGGACAUGUCUAACCGGGGAAGUUGAAUCGCACUUCUCUCCCAUCCGGUGGCAGGCGCCGACUAUGAUAUAUCCGGAGAUGGUGGAACGUCGGCCGUACAGAAUUUCCCUCCGGGUGGAAUGAGCGAUGCUACGUGUCGCAAGGGGGGCCGUCUGCGUGUCCAAGGGAUAGGGAGCCACGUGGCACUUUUUGGGGAGGAUCUCACAGUUGUGAGGAAAAUGAAGCUUUGGUACCAUGUUAAAUUGUUACUUGACCUAAAAACUUAGAUUAUUAGAUAAUAAGCCAAGAAUAUAUAUCAAAUUGGCUGAGGUGAAAACCUUAACAGCCGUUUUUGGAAUCCUUAGACAUGGCUAAUGAGCUUUUAGAUGGAUGUACCAAGUGGUCAUUCUUAAGUCAUGCUAUCAAUUGAUGGAUCGUAGUUGAGCAGUGUUAGGUGAUUAUUAUCAUAAAUGUAUGGUUGAGCAGUCACAGAUUAGCAAUUGAAAAGAAAGAUUUUCCAGGACUGAGCUGAAUUCAGAGAAGAAAAUAUACAUAGAAUUUGAUUGAAACGUCUACAAACAAGCAAGUUGAGAAGUACAUUAUUACCGAAGUAUCUCUGCUGUCUAUCAGCUACCAACUUGUCAUUCUACUGUGGUAAUCCCUCUAUCUUGAACUGAUGAAUGCUCCUAGGGAAAGACAUGUAUCACAUUGAACUUUCGAUUAAGGUAGCAACAAGGAAGCAUAAGCUAGCAUAAUAGCCUUUCAAGGGUUUUUAUCUAAAGAACAACUUGCUCUUAUGAGGGUUUUCUCCUCCAAGUUGCCUUUCCAUAUGUCUAAAUCCACCCAAGGGGUCUUUUUCACUAGUUAAUGAGUUUACUACAGUCUGAUUGAAUCCCAUGAACAUGCAAUUCUAUAUAUAAGGACUAUCUAAAUAUGUUUAGCAUUCAAGCCUCUUGUCCAGACUAGAAGGUCAGAAAAUGGCUCUCGAUUUGAAUCCCUUGCUUUCUUUUACUUUCCUGCAAAUGGGUUAUCAUACAUCUCCCAAAUUCUCCAUGGCCUCAACGCACCGCUCUGUAUUCAGGUGACUGUGUUCUUCACUUCUUACAAAAGUUUACAGAAUGUUCAUACCAUUUAGUAGAAAAUGACAAGUACCUAUGUUCAUCGUUUCAUCCUAACCAGUGUCUAACCCUUGUAAAAAGACGGAUUUGAAUUGUCAGUACCAAAUCCAAAUUUCUUCUGUUUAAUGCAGGGAGGUUAAGAAUCCAAACAAGCCUUUAGCUCUCCUCACAAGGUGCAAGUAACCCACUCAAUGCCACCACACAAGAUUGAGAUUUUCAAAUCCAUGGAGAAUUGGGUUGAGGAGAACGUUUUAAUUCACCUGAAGCCAGUUGAGAAAUGUUGGCAACCUCAGGACCUUCUGCCUGAUCCUGCAUCUGAUGGAUUUCAUGAGCGAGUCAAGGAGCUACAGGGACCCCGGAUGACUACUUUGUUGUUUUGGUUGGAGAUAUGAUCACUGAAGAAGCCCUUCCAACUUACCAAGCACAGAUCAAUAUCACUGAUGGAAUUCGUGAUGAAACAGGGGCAAGCCCCAGCUCAUGGGCAACUUGGACAAGGGCAUGGACCGCUGAAGAGAACAGGGACGGUGACCUUCUUAAUAAGUAUCUCUAUCUGUCUGGAAGAGUAGACAUGAAACAAAUCGAGAAGACGAUUCAGUAUUUGAUUGGGGCUGGAAUGGUGAGAUUCUUGCUACAUGCCCUUUUUUUUUUUUUUUUCUGUAGUCAGUCACAAUCUUCACUAGUUCUUGAACUCAAGUUCUUCUUCUCCAUCUUUUCAUAGGAUGUGCAGAUGGAAAACAAUCCGUACCUUUUAUUCAUCUAUACUUCAUUUCAAGAAAGGGCAACCUUCAUAUCCCAUGGCAAUACUGCCAGGCUCGCCAAUCAACAUGGGGACAAGAGCUUGGCUCAAAUAUGUGGCAUAAUAGCCUCAGAUGAGAAGCGCCAUGAAACUGCCUACACCAAGAUAGUGGAAAAGCUCUUUGAGAUUGAUCCCAAUGGAACUGUUUUGGCUUUUGCAGACAGGAUGAGGAAAAAAAUCACCAUGCCGGGCCUCUUGAUGUAUGAUGGCUGUGAUGACGACCUUUUUGAACACUUCUCAGCAGUUGCUCAGAGGCUUGGUGUGUAUACUGCCAAGGACUAUGUCGAUAUCUUAGAAUUCUUUGUGGAGAGAUGGAAUGUGGAAAAGCUAACUAGGCUUUCUAGUGAGGGGCGAAAAGCUCAGGAUUAUGUUUGUGGUUUAGCUAAAAGAUUGAGAAAGCUGGAGGAGAGAGCUCAAGAAAAGGCUCAGCAAGCACCCACCAUUCCUUUCAGUUGGAUCUUUGAUAGAGAAGUGAAACUCUGAGUGCAAAAUUGAAGAAAAAGACUUUGGUUCCUUUUAUUUUUAGUUAUCUUUUUUCCUCCACUUGGAAGAUAUUUGAGAUUUUUUUUUUAAAUUCUCUUUGGUCUAUAAUUGGAAAUAUUAAUUUUAUUUGCAAAAUUAAAUUUUAUAGUCUUUCAAAUUUCACUAUGUAUCACAUUUUGAAUAUAUACUAGACGUCAAAUGUGUGUGACUUACUACUUGUCGAGCUCAAAUUUUAUUGAAUUGAGAAGUCAUAAUUUUGAAGAUUAAUUUAGUGAUAAUUCAAUUCACUAAUUUUUUUUUUUGAUGUUUAUAGCAACCAAAAAAUUGUUUUUUUUUUUUUUGUGUUCUUAAAAAUAGAAAAUAGGGUGUUUUCAAAAAACACCUUUUAGUUCUUUUAAGUUGUUUUCACUUAUUUUGUAAAUUUUUUUUUAAAAAUAAUUAUACAAAUAUGAAGAAUGAUUAAAAAUAAAACCUUAUAUAUAAUUUUUUUAAAACAUAUAUAUAAUUUUUUUAAAACAUAUUUAAAAAUAUUUAAAACAUAUUAAAAACAUUUUAAAUUUCCAAGCACAUUUUGUUUUAUAAAAUAUUAAAAAAUAGUUUUCAAAAACUGUUUUUGAAAAUAAUUAUCAAAUGAACCCUUAAUUUCUUUUAAAUUGAUUUAAGAAAACAGUAUAUAUAUAUAUAUAUAUAUAUAAGUAAAACAUGAGAAAUGUUAAAUUCAUAAAUUUGAAGAUUAUUUUAUCCCCUUUAACUAAUUAAUUCUUAGAAAGAAAAAACUCAUUUAAACUUGCUUAGACUGACUUUUGAAAAACCAUUUUUUUUUUAUAAAAAAAUUCAAUAAAAGCUUGUAAAUUUGUUUGGCAAAUUUGGUCUAAAAAUUUUAUGAUUUUAAAAAAAGUUUAAUAUAAAAAGGUAAAAAAUAUUGCUUUUUAUAGAAGUUAUGUUUUAUCUAAUACAAAAAAAAAAAAAGUUUAAUAAAGCUUUUACAAUAUCAACAUCGUCAUUUUAAAAAACUUUGAUGAUGUUCUUUUAUAAACUAUUACAUAAAAUAAAAAUAUUUCUAAAAUAACAUUUUGAGUGAUUUUUUUUAUAUUUUUAAAAGUUUUUCAAACAUCUAAUUUUGUGAAGUGUUUUCAAAUAUUCAAAAGCACUUUUAACUUUAUUAAAACCACUCUAAAAUGAACUCUUGGAAUUAAAAUUGAUUUUGAGAGGAUUAGAAGUGUUUCAAUGAUGAUGGUAGCAAUGUUGUAUAUUCUAUAAAGUUUAUUUGAUGGUGAUUUUAGAGUGUUAGAAGCAUUUUUUAUUAUUUGAAAAUACUUACUUAUAGAAACUAGAUGUUUGACAAACUUAAAAAUGUUUAAAAAAAAUUAUUUUCUUAUGUUUAAUUUAUUAUGAAAAAUAUGAAAAAAAAAUCAAUUAAAAACUUAUGCCUUUCAAAUUGUUUUCUAGAGUAUUUAAGGAAUAAUUGAGAAUAAUGGAAAAUACUUUGAAAAGAAGAAAAAUAUUUUUAAGCAGUAGCAGUAGCAGAUUAGCAAUUAAAAAGAAGGAUUUUCCAGGACUGAGCUGAAUUCAGAGAAGAAAGUAUGCAUAGAAUUUGAUUAAAACGUCUAUGAACAAGCAAGAUGAGAGGUACAUCAUUACAGUACUAUCUCUGCUGUCUGUCAGCUAUCGACUCGGCUUUGUACAGUGGUGAUCCCUCCAUCUUGAGAUGAAAUCACCAACACUUCCAUUAGGCCUUCACAAGGGAGUUUGCACAUCCUAGUUGCUACUUAGUAUACUGAGUGAAUGACAGAUCCCUUGGGGGACCGAAUAAACUCCUUAGUAAUAAAGUCUAAGGCAUCUUAAUGAACUGAUGAAUGCUCCAAGGGAAAGACGUGUAUCCCAGUGAGCUUUGGCUUUAUCUAGACACUACUUGUUCUUAUGAGGGUUUUCUCCUCCACGUUGCUUUUCCAUAUGUCUAAAUCCACCCAAGGGGUCUUCUUCACUAGUUAAUGAGUUUACUUCAGUCUCAUUGAAUCCCAAGAACAUCCAUUUCUAUAUAUAAGGACUAUCUAUAUAUAUUUAGCAUCCAAGUCUCUCUUCCAGAGUACAAGUGAAGUCAGAAAAUGGUUCUCAAUUUGAAUCCCUUGCUUUCUCUUACUUUCCUGCAAAUGGGUUUUCAUUCAUCUCUCAAAUUCUCCAUGGUCCCCAUGCACCGCUCUGUGUCCAGGUGAGUGUGUUCUUCACUUACAGAAGUUUACGGAAUGUUCAUACCAUUUAGAAGAAAAUGACAAGUGCCUAUGUUCAUUGUUUCAUCCUAACCAGUGUCUAACCAGACGGAUCCAAAUUGUAAGUACCUAAUCUGAAUUUCUUCUGUUUAAUGUAGGGAGGUUAAGAAUACAAAGAAGACUUCUGGCUCUCCUCACAAGGUGCAAGUAACCCACUCAAUGCCACCGGCCCACCACACAAGAUUGAGAUUUUCAAAUCCAUGGAGAAUUGGGUUGAGGAGAACGUUUUAAUUCACCUGAAGCCAGUUGAGAAAUGUUGGCAACCUCAGGAUUUUCUGCCCGAUCCUGCUUCUGAUGGAUUUCAUGAGAGAGUUGAGGAGGUAAAGGAGAGGGCAAAGGGGAUCCCGGAUGGCUACUUUGUCAUUUUGGUUGGAGAUAUGAUCACUGAAGAAGCCCUUCCAACUUACCAAACACAGAUCAAUAUCACUGAUGGAAUUCGGGAUAAAACAGGGGCAAGCCCCAGCUCUUGGGCAACUUGGACAAGGGCAUGGACCGCUGAAGAGAACAGGCACGGUGACCUUCUUAGUAUCUCUAUCUGUCUGGAAGAGUAGACAUGAAACACAUCGAGAAGACGAUCCAGUAUUUGAUUGGGGCUGGAAUGGUGAGAUUCUUGCUGCAUACUUUUUUACUGUUUUAUCUCCAAAACCACAAUGUAGUGACUGCUUUUGGUAUCUCUAUCAGUCACAAUCUUCACUAGUUCUUGAACUCAAGUUCUUUUUCUCCAUCUUUUCAUAGGAUGGGCAGAUCGAAAACAAUCUGUACCUUUUAUUCAUCUAUACUUCAUUUCAAGAAAGGGCAACCUUCAUAUCCCAUGGCAACACUGCCAGGCUCACUAAGCAACAUGGGGACAAGAACUUGGCUCUAGUAUGUGGCAUAAUAGCCUCAGAUGAGAAGCACCAUGAAACUGCCUACACCAAGAUAGUGGAAAAUCUCUUUGAGAUUGAUCCCAAUGGAACUGUUUUGGCUUUUGCAGACAGCAUGAGGAAGAAAAUCACCAUGCCGGGCCUCUUGAUGUAUGAUGGCUGUGAUGACGACCUUUUUGAACACUUCUUAGCAGUUGCUCAGUGGCUUGGUGUGUAUGCUGCUAAGGACUAUGUUGAUAUCUUAGAAUUCUUUGUGGAGAGGUGGAGUGUGGAAAAGCUAACUGGGCUUUCUAGUGAGGGGCAAAAGCUCGGGAUUAUGUUUGUGGGUUAGCUUAAAGAUUGAGAAAGCUGGAGGAGAGAGCUCAAGAAAAGGCUAAGCAAGCACCCACCAUUCCUUUCAGUUGGAUUUUUGAUAGAGAAGUGAAGCUCUAAGGGCAAAAUGGAGUCACUAUAUGUAGUUUCUAGGUCGUGUUCUCAAAGAUUUAUCCAGUAAUAUACAAGUGUAAGGCAUCUAUGUUUCUCUAUCUCAAUUUCAAUAAUCACGAUCUCAUCUCAUUUCACUUCUUAGAAUGCUACAAACUCGAGCAGUGCCAUUUUUUUUUCUUUCACUAUAGGACAUUGGUAAAAGCAUCCUUAGCAAAAAGGAAAUGAUAGGACACUAUACAUCUAACAACCCUUUUUAAACUGGUUUUGCUGGUUUUAUUUUGGGUAUUUUUGAAUAAGCCCAAGUUUGGCAAUUGUUGCUUGAUUUUGUUCUGUGAUUUUUGCUUUCCUUUUAUUUUUUGCUGAGUCAAUGACUCUUAGGUAUAAAGGGACUGAUUCUUUUGCAAGGGAUUAUGAGAAGAUCAUCCAAUAAAAAGUUCUAUUUUUUUAGUCAAUAUGUCUUCUUCUUCCUAGCUGUUUCAUUGGUUUCAAAACGACAACCAGGCACCAAGUAAUGGUGGAUGGUAUCAAAGCUCUGACGAUUGUUGAUCUGAGGUCUCCUUCAAUCACUUUACAGAAUCCUCUAGUUCCAUCUGCCAUUACUUGAUACCAGGUUGUAGCUCUGAUACCAAUGAAACAGCCAGGAAAAAGAAGACACAAAAUUGACUAGAAAAAUGGAACUUUUUAUUGGAUAAUCUUCUCAUAAUCCCUACCAAAAGAACCAGCCCCUUUAUACAUAAGAGUCAUUGCAAAAAUCUGGGAAUAAAAUCAAGCAACAAUUACCAAACUUGGCCUAUCUAAAAAUACCCAAAAUAAAACCAGUAACCCCAAUUUAAAAUGGGUCUUUACAGUACAUAUUCCAAUCUAGGAAGCGGCUUAGAGAGCUCAGCACGUGGGUGGUAGUGGAGAAGGAAAUUAUGGCUCCUUAAUAAAUGCAAAUGUAGCCCCAGGGAAUGAGCCAAAAUUUUUCUCUAAAAGUUUUCUGUUCAUAAUUUAGAGCCGCUCUGCUCCGACCCAAAGAAGGGUCGAUUCGGUAAUAGGAAAAGCAAAGACGAUAGCGAGUGACCUACAGCAUUCGUAGAUAGGACUUCGCCAAAAUUUUCCUCUGAAAGUUUUCUGAUCAUAAUUUACUUCUCAGUGCCUGAACCCUUCUGCAGUAUCUUUUCUAAUUAAUGAAUUUCUUGAAAUGGGGCAGUUUCAUCGAAUGUCAUCAAUUUCUAUAUCCAUGUAUAUGUAGCAUCUAAGUAGCAAACUGAACCUAAGAAAAAGCAGAGGAAGUGAAAGUCCAGAAAUGAAUUUCAACCUAAACCCCCUUACCUUUCAACCCGGGAAGUUUCCUUCUCUUUCUCUCCGUCCCAGAUCUUCCAAUGUCUCCAUCGCUUCCACCAUCACCUCUGGUUCCGAGUGAGUGUCUUUCGUCGAAAUGUUCCUUUAAAAAUUCAUUUGAUUCUCAAAAUAUUCUAUGAGUGGAUAGAUCUUACCGAUGUUCAUUGAAAACAGGAGGAAGCAAAGGCCAAAAGUAUGCAUCAUUUUUAAGGCACAACCAACAUGAAUAGCAGCCAAACAGCCCAAUUGACCACAUGAAUCUUUUUUUUUUUUUUUUUUCUUUUUCUUUUUCCGGUUUCCUAUACUUUCUCGGCAACCAAACGGGUUGGGAGAAUAGGGGAAAGUGAAGGCAGCAACUUGUUCGCUGAUUUGUACAAGGCCAACCUUCAAUGCAAGUAAUUGCGUCAUUCGAUGAUAAUCAACGCUCUCGCUCUGAUAAUUGGCUACGGCAACCCUAUGAUUGGUUUCCAAGAAAAUGAUAGAAAAACAAACACACAGAAUCUGAGACUAAUGCUUGGGAGACGAUCCAAAAAAGUCAAAACAAUCAUACUGCACUUUAGAUGGUGGUCUGUGAAUUGGGCCGUAGGUAUGACAGUGGGCUAGGCCCAACUAUAACGGAAAACUUUUUUUUUCUUUUAAAAAUUCAAAUAUAAAAAAUGAUUUUCUUUGCUUAUUCUACAGAAGGGAGUAAACAAAAAUUCCCGACCUAGUAUCCAUAAAUAUAUAUUACAAGUAAGGGUCUCCAACGGGCGGGCCGGGCCGCAGGCUUUUUUAAAUAAGCCAAAAUGACUUUUAAAUAAAGGAAGGGAGAGGGGGGGAUUCGAACCCCUCCCCUUAAGCUUAAAUUUUAAGGCUUCAACCAACUGAGCAACAUUCUUUUUGUACUUAUUAAAUGAGUUAGUUAUAUAUAUAUAAAAAUAAAGUAUAUUAUUUUUUUAAAAAAAAUUAAAGGCUCCAUGUGAGUCAUGUGACCGUUGGGGCUAAGCCUCCAACGGUCACAUGACCAAUUUUUUUUUUUUUUAACCUUCCUAUAAAUACAUUUUCUUCCUUUUCAUUUUUUCAUCAAAUUCUCUCUAUUUCUCUCUCUAUUUCUCUCUCUAUUUCUCUCACAUUCUACAAUAUUUCAAAUUCUUUUAUUUUUCCCUCAAAUUAUACAAUAUUGUUGGUGGUGCAAAACAAGUAUUGGUGGCUCUAAGAGUUCAAAUUUGCUAGGAAUUUCUGCAUCGGUUCUCUAAUUGAGUAACAUACUUCACCCCUACUACUUUAUUUUUUUGUUACAUUUUUUUUAUAUUUAUUACUUUAUUAUUUUUGGCAUAAUAUUUUAUCAAUAAUUAUAAUAUGACAAGUGCUUCUUCAUCUAGUCCAUGUGAUGAAAUAUCAUCAAACAAAAAAUUUACUUCAAAUAUAGAAAUAAUUUUAAAAAAUAAUAAAAAAGAAAUAAAAGCAAAAUGUAAAAUUUGUAAUAAAUUUCUUACUGGUGGCUCAAAUACAGGCACAAGUCAUUUAAAAAGACAUCACGAAAAUUGUAAAACUAAAAAUAAUGUAGAUAUUAGAAAUUAUAUGCAAUUAGGUAAAAAUGAAAGUAGAAAUUUAAAAACAUUUUCUUAUGAUGAAUCUAACUGUCGUGAAGAAAUGAUUGAUUAUAUAAUAAGAGCAGAACAACCUUUCAACAUGAUGGAAACUCAUGAUUUUGUAGGAACAAUUCAACGAGGUAUUAAUCCUCAAUUUAAAGGUUGGUCUGGAAAUACAGUUAAAAGAGAUAUUAUGAAAAAAAUUUAUACACAAAAAGAAAUUUAAAAUUUUUUUUUUGCAAAUUUUGAAGGAAAUAUUUGUUUAACAUCUAAUAUUUGGACAUCUUUAAUUCACACUGGUUUUUUAUGUAUAACUGCUCACUACAUUGAUAAUGAAUGGAAAUUAAAUAAAAGAAUAAUUUCAUUUAAAUUAAUAAAUGCUCCACAUAGUGGCAAAAAUAUAACAGCUUUAAUAAAUGAUGAAAUUAUAGAUUUAGACAUUCGUGAUAAAAUAUUGACAAUAACAUUAGAUAAUGCUGCUAAUAAUGAUAUAGCAAUACAUAGACUAAAACGAUAUUGGCAAGUAAAAGAAGAUCAUGCUAAAAUAUUUCAUGUGCGUUGUUGUGCACAUAUUUUAAAUUUAAUUGUAAAUGAUGGAUUAAAAAAUGUUGAUAGUACAUUGGAAAAAAUUAGAGGCAUUGCAUAUAGUAUUAAUAGUUCUCAAGCAAAACAUGAAUUAUUUUUUGAUUGUUGCAAAAUGUUAAAUAUGAAAAGAAAAAAUAUAAAUUUGGAUAUGGCCAUUAGAUGGAAUUCCACAUAUAAACUUUUACAAAAUAUUACAAAAUAUAGAAAAGUAGUCGAAUUAUAUGAAAUACAAUUAAUUAACAAUGAUUGUGAAACAGAUAUUUAUGCAUUAAAUGAUUAUGAUUGGCAUAUUGCGGAUCUUUUAAGAGAUCUUUUUGAAAUUUUUGAUACUUCAACAAACAUUUUUUGUGGUGUAUAUUAUCCAACUUCAAAUCGAGUUAUUACGCAAAUAACUAAUAUUUUUAUUGUACUUCAAAAAUAUUUAAGUUUUGAAAUAUUUAAUGAUACAAUAUUUGCAAUGAUAGAAAAAUUUAGAAAAUAUUGGGGAGAAAUACCUUUAAUUUUUUAUAUUGCUUUAAUUGUGGACCCUAGAUUGAAAUUUGAAGCUUUGGAUGAAUGGUUAACAAUUAUUUAUUUUAAUGACCAAAUAAAAAUUGAAGAAAUUAAAAAUGAAAUAAAUUCAUUAUUAUAUAAUUUAUAUAACUAUUAUAAAGAAAAAUAUGGUAAUGAUAUUAAUACUAUUAAAUUACCACCUACAAACUCCUCAUCUUUUUAUAAAGGAGCUCUAGAAAUGUUGAAAAGUCGAAAAAAGACAACAAAUAGUUCUCCAAAUAAUACAUCUGAUUUAGAUAAAUAUCUUAAUACUGAUAUAAUUUCAUUUGAAGAUCAAGAAGAUUUUGAUAUUUUAAUAUGGUGGAAAUCACAUCAACACAAAUAUCCUGUGCUUUCUAUAAUUGCUCGUGAUGUACUAACAGUUCCUGUGAGUACAGUUGCAUCAGAAGCUGCUUUUAGUGCAGGUGGAAGAGUAGUUAGUAAAAAACGAUGUAACUUAGCGCCAGAUGUUAUUGAAGCAGGGAUAUGUGUGAAAGAUUGGGAAAUAGCAGAUAAAAGGAUGUACGAUUCCAUUUGAGAAACAGAGAUGCUUGCCGAUAUGGAAUCUUUAAAAUUAUCAAGAUCUUCAUGGAUGCAUGAUAGUUCGCCAUCACCGCCAGAAAAUAAUGACUAAAUGUAUAUUAUAUUUUUAUUUUUAUUUUUUGUGGUUGAAAAAUACAGAUGAUUGACAAAUAAAUAGGUGCCAACCUAGUUGGGAUGUAUUUAUUUUGUAGUGAUGUAAACUUUUCCCACAUUUUUAAAUGUAAUUAUACAUUCAAUGAAUAAAAUUUUGAAAUGAAUAUUUUUUUACUUUUUAUUUUUGUAGUUUUUUUUUAAAGGGGCGGGCCUAAGGGCGGGCCUACGGGCCGGCCCGGCCCGCCCAUAAACGGGCUUGGGCCGGGCUUUAGCCCGUCGGGCCGAGCCGGGCCUAAAGUGGGCCGCGGGCUUUUUGGAGACCAUUAAUUACAAGCAUAUUUUAAAAAUCAUUUCUUAGAAAAAUAAAGUGUCGUUUCCAAAAACAUCCUUCAACAAUGGUUUUGAAAACAUAAUUUUUUAGAAUAAUAUUUUAAAAUUGUUUUACAAUGAUUUGUAAAACAAAAGUUUGAGAGUUUGAAAUGUUUUUGACAUAUUUUUAAUAUUUUUAAAUAUGUUUUAAAAAUAAUUUUUAUAUUUAGUACUUUAUUUAAAAAGACCGAAAUAAGAAUUAAAAAAAUGCUAUUUAAAAACAUCAUAUUUUUUAUUUUUAAGAAUAAAAAAUAGAAAAUAAAUUUUUGAUUCUCAAAGUUUUUUUUUUUUUGAGAACAUAAAACUGUUAUAAAAAAAUAAUUGUCAAAUAAGGUCUUAUUUUUUUACACUCAAGCCUCCCACCCACCUACAAUUCCAAAAAAACAUCAUUUUUUUUUUGUUUUAUUUUGACAAAAAUGUCCUCCUUAAUUUCUUGUAAAAAUAAUUAUUUCUUUUAAAACCUACAUGAAAUAUUUAAAAUAAUAAAAUACAUUUAUGUCAAUAAUGAGUUAUUUUUCAAAUAAAAAUAUAAGAAUAAUUAGAUUCAUAAAUUUGGGAUUAUUUCAUAUUUUUUAACUAAUUAAUUCUUAAAAAUAAAAAAAUCACUUAACCUUAUUUAAAUGGACUUUUGAAAAGCCAAUUAUUUUUCAAUUCAAUAAAAGCUUUUUUUUUUCUUUUUUUUUUUUUUUUAAAAAGCUUAAUAUAAAAGGUAGAAAAAUAUUGCUUUUUAUAGAAGCUAUGUUUUAACUUUUAUUUUAUCUAAUACAAAAAAAUUAUUUAUGUUUAAUAAAGCUUUUAAAAUAUCAAUAUUGUCAUUUAAAAAUGAUUACAUAAAAAGAAAAAUUGAAAUAAUAUUUUGAGUGAUUUUUUAUAUUUUUUAAAAAUUUUCAAACAUCUAUUUUUGUAAAAACAUGUUUUCAAAUAUUCAAAAACACUUUUAACUUUAUUAAAAUCACUCUAAAAUGACCUAUUGGACUUAAAAUUGACUUUAAGGAAUUAGAAAUGUUUUGAUGACGGUGAUAGCAAUGUUAUAAGUUAUAUUGGGUUUGUUUGAAUCGUUUGAUAGUGAUUUUAGAGUGUUAGAAACGUUUUUUAAUAUUUGAAAAUACUUUCUUAUAGAAAUUAGAUGUUUGACAAACUCAAAAAAUGUUUAAAAAAAUUAUUUUUUCAUGUUUGAUUUAUUAUGAAAAAUAUGAAAAAAAAAUCAAUUAAAACUUAUGUCUUCUCAGAUUAUUUAAUUAUUCUAAAAAAAUAUAAAAAAUAAGUAAAUUAUUUUGAAAAUUUCUUUUUUUUAAAUCAAUAACAAUUUUUUCUUACUCUUUUAUCCUUCUUCCAUUUUAGCUCAUUAUCAUGUCAUUUAAGCUUAAAAAUAUGUGUUCAAUUUAAACUUAAUAAUAAUUUGAAAUGGGUUUAAGUGAGUCCUGAAAAAAAAACCAAUAAAUAAAGUCAAUAAGUUUAAUCUCUGAUUAAAUUAUAAUUAAUGUAUUAAUUAAAAAACUAAUUUAUGAGAUUAUGAGAAAUAAAUGAGGGGAGAAGAUACAAGAACAAACUCGGUGAAUAAUAGUUAGGAUUUAGAAAAAAAAUAUUUAUUUUAACUUAUUAUUUAAAGUUAUAUUUAGCUUUAAAUUGCAAUAUUAUGCCAUUUUAUCAAAUAUUUUUAAUGAUUGAAAUUAACUUAUUAAUUGUUUUUGAACACAUUUUCAAUUUUUAUUUUUAAAAUAAGAGCUCUUACAUGAAAAGUAAAAUCUUAUGUUUUUAAAAAAUCAGUUUUAAAAUUUUUAAAUUUUUUAAAAACUAUCUUAUUUUUAAAAUAAGUCUCUAAAAACUCUUAAAGUGCGUUUAAGAGUGAUUGUAAAAAGCGUUUCUAGUAUAACAUUUAUGAUAAAAAUUUUCAAGUAUUAGAAAUAUUAAAAACGCUUCUUAAAAUCAUUACCAAAUAAGUUCUUAAAUUGUAUGUCAAAAUUGAUAUUAUUUUUGUUUCUAAAAAUAAAAUUGAAGAAGUCCAUCUAAAUAAUAUUUAAGUCAUAUCCAACUCAUAUUAAGUCAUAUCCAACUUAGUUGGUAUCGACUUAAUUAUUGAAGCCAUAUGUUAAUAUUCUUUUAAUGCAUCAACCUCCACUCAAUUAAUACAACCUCAUACGAGGCUUUCCAAGCCAAAGUCUAUUGUUGAGUCUUGAAUGUUAAUAAAUGGAACUAAUCCCAACAAUAAAGUCUUAUGCCACAUGCCAAUUUCAAUAAUUCGUGAAAAAUGACCAACUUUAUGUCAACAAAUCUUAUUUAUACAGGCUUCAACUCCUUCAAUAAUUACUCUCAUAAAUUAUAAAAAUUACCUUAUACUUUCAGAUCUGCCUUAAUUCAUCUCUAAGGGAUUUUUUUUUUUAUAAAAAAAAUAAAAAUAAAAAGCAAUAUCAACCCUACACUAGUUUCAAAGAUGAAUAAGUUCUUAUGAUUGGAACAUAGACAAAUUAAAAAUAAAUAAACAUAUCAUAUAAUGUUCGAAAAAAUAAACAAACAUCUAUUAUCGUAACAUAGACACACGUUAUCUAUCUUUAGUGUUGAGCAUGGUGAUGGUGGUAAAGUUGCAAAGCCUUUUUACUCUAGAGGAGUAAAAAAGGGCCUUGAUGGCGACGAAGACAAAACGUGGGGUGGAUGGUAGUUGAAUAUUGGUGAUGGUGGAAUUUAUUAGAGUACUAUUUGGAAUCUAUUUGGUAGUAAUUUUAAAAGGAAUUAAAAGCACGGUGAAUUGUUUUGUAGUAGUAAUUUUAAUGUUUGAAAAUGAUUUUUUUUUUCUUCUUGAAUUUAGAAACAUAUUUAGCAAUGAUUCUUGAAAACGGUUUUUGAUUCUUUAGAAUAGAACAAUGUUUUCUAACUAUAUGUUUCAGAGAAAAUAAUUUUGUUAAAAAUGCAUAGCAUUAGUAGAUUAGCAAUUAAAAAGAAGGAUUUUCCAAGAUAGGGCUGAAUUCAGAGAAAGAAAAUAUGCAUAGAAUUUGAUUAAAAUGUCUAUAAACAAGCAAGUUGAGUUUUAGGGCAAAAUAAUCCUUUUAUAAAAUAAAAAUGUAAGGUAUAGCCCCUUCGUAAAACUUAUGUUCAAACUGUCCGAUUCAUUGCCGUAUAAAAGUCAUGCCAUAAAAUAUAUUUUUCUUUUCAAAAUUUAAGUUGAAACCUCAAUUAUCAAUUGGAACUUCAUUUUUUUUUAACUAAAACCAUAAUUUGUAAGUGAGACCAUUGAGGCUUCAGUUGAAUUUUUUUUUUAAAGUUUAAAAUUUAAUUAAAAUAUUAAACUAUAAAUUAUUGUUGAAAUUAAAAAUAUAUACUUUAAUAAUAAAAAUUAUAUAUUUAAACUUAAAAGAUCUAAUAUAACUUCAAUAAAAAUAAAUUGAUAAAUAUAAUAAUACAUAAAUAUUUUAUUUAUCAAUAAAUUAAUAAACUUAAAAUAAUAAAGUUAUAUGACAUAUAAAUAAGAUAUAAAAUUAUAUAAUUAUUAAUUUAAGAUAUUUAAUUUGUUGUAUUUUUAAGAUAUUAAUUCAUUUGUAUUUUGACAAAUUUAUCUUUAUUAAAAUAAUAGUAUACUAUUAAGUUUUCAUAUAUAGAUUUUUUAUUAUUUUAAAACAUAUGUUUAGACUAUUAUUUGUAGACACACGAUAGAUUUCAAAAUUAGUUAAUGAAAUUAAUUAGAAAAAGUAUACUAGAAAAUGUAAUUUUUAGUAGUUUCAUCAAAGUCACAAAAAAUACCCACUAAAUAUUUAUAUAGUGGGAAAAAAAACCCCAUUCCCUAACUAUAGCAGUUGCUACAUGUGAUAUAACUUAAAUUAAUAAAUUAUAUUUAGCAUUUCUAUAUAUAUAUAUAUUUAGCAUCCAAGUCUCUCGUCCAGAUUACACGGAAGUGAAGUCAGAAAAUGGCACUCAAUUUCACUCCCUUGCUUUCUUUUACUUUCCUGCAAAUGGGUUAUCAUACAUCUCCCAAAUUCUCCAUGGCCUCCAUGCACCGCUCUGUGUCCAGGUGAGUGUGUUCUUCACUUCUUACAAAAGUUUACGGAAUGUUCAUACCAUCUAGUAGAAAAUGGCUAGUGCCUAUGUUCAUAGUUUCAUCCUAACCAGUAGUGUCUAACCCUUGUGAAAAGACGGAUCCGAAUUGUAAGUACCUAAUCCAAAUUUCUUCUGUUUAAUGUAGGGAGAUUAAGAAUACAAAGAAGAUUUCUAGCUCUCCUCGCAAGGUGCAAGUAACCCACUCAAUGCCACCACACAAGAUUGAGAUUUUCAAAUCCAUGGAGAAUUGGGUCGAGGAGAACGUUUUAAUUCACCUGAAGCCAGUUGAGAAAUGUUGGCAACCUCAGGAUUUUCUGCCUGAUCCUGCAUCUGAUGGAUUUCAUGAGCGAGUCAAGGAGCUACAGGACAGAGCUAAGGGGACCCCAGAUGACUACUUUGUGGUUUUGGUUGGACAUAUGAUCACUGAAGAAGCCCUUCCAACUUACCAAACACAAAUCAAUAUCACUGAUGGAAUUCGCGAUGAAACAGGGGCAAGUCCCAGCUCAUGGGCAACUUGGACAAGGGCAUGGACCGCUGAAGAGAACAGGCACGGUGACCUUCUUAAUAAGUAUCUCUAUCUGUCUGGAAGAGUAGACAUGAAACAAAUCGAGAAGACGAUUCAGUAUUUGAUUGGGGCUGGAAUGGUGAGAUUCUUGCUACAUGCUUUUUUUUUUUUUUUUUUUUUCUGUAGUCAAUCACAAUCUUCACUAGUUCUUGAACUCAAGUUCUUCUUCUCCAUCUUUUCAUAGGAUGCUCAGAAUGAUAACAGUCCCUACCUUGGCUGCAUCUAUACUUCAUUUCAAGAAAGGGCAACCUUCAUAUCCCAUGGCAGUACUGCCAGGCUCGCCAAUCAACAUGGGGACAAGAGCUUGGCUCAAAUAUGUGGCAUAAUAGCCUCAGAUGAGAAGCGCCAUGAAACUGCCUACACCAAGAUAGUGGAAAAGCUCUUUGAGAUUGAUCCCAAUGGAACUGUUUUGGCUUUUGCAGACAGGAUGAGGAAGAAAAUCACCAUGCCGGGCUUCUUGAUGUAUGAUGGAUGUGAUGAAAACCUUUUUGAGCACUUCUCCGCAGUUGCUCAGAGGCUUGGUGUGUAUACUGCCAAGGACUAUGUUGAUGUCUUAGAAUUCUUUGUGGAGAGAUGGAACGUGGAAAAGCUAACUGGGCUUUCUAGUGAGGGGCGAAAAGCUCAGGAUUACGUUUGUGGGUUAGCUCAAAGAUUGAGAAAGCUGGAGGAGAGAGCUCAAGAAAAAGCUAAGCAAGCACCCACCAUUCCUUUCAGUUGGAUUUUGGAUAGAGAAGUGAGGCUCUGAGUGCAAAAUGGAAGACAAAGAUUGGUCGUGUCCUCAAAGAUCUAUCCUGUAAUAUACAAGUGUAAGCCAUCUAUGUUUCUCUAUCUCAAUUUUAAUAAUCACGAUCUCAUCUCAUAUCACUUCUUAGAAUCCUACAAACCAGGGUUUUGGUUUAUAUCUCGUCAUUUGGACUGAAGCAGUGCUUUUUUUUUUUUUUAAUUCCUAUAAGAUAUUGGUAAAAACAUCCUUAGCAAAAAGGAAAGGGAAAAUCAUCUAAUCAUACACCAACUACAAAAAAUAUGAAAUUUUGAAACUUUACUUUUUUCUUUUUAAUUUUGGUGUAAAAUGGAAAAAAAUAUUGUGUAUUCAUGCACUCCAAUAGUGCUUUCAAAUUUGUUCCACAAUUACCCUCAAAGGUAAAGGACAAAGUACACACUAAUUUAAUACUAUUUGUUAACAAGUAUAUGAGUCAUUCAAUUUUAUUAUUUUUCUCACAUCAAUAUAUCUCCCUUACCACUUGUCACGUUUUCACUUUUUUCUUUUUUCUUUUUUUUUGUUCCUCUCUUGCCACCAUAAUCCAUUGUCACCUAUUAUAGUUUUUAUUUUUAUUUUUAUUUUUUUUCCUUUAUAUUCUUUUUAAUAUACUCGUGCAUUUUCUCAUAAAACUUUUUUAAUUUUAAUUUAUUUUUACUCUUUAAUUUGUCUAUAUUUAUUGAUUUUAAUUAUUUUUUUUUGACAUAUUAAACUUAAAAUGAUAACAUGUAAUAAAUAAUUAAUAUAAAAAAUUAAAUAAAAAAUAUAUAUAUAAUGGACAAAAAUGAAAUUAUCAUCCCACAAAUAAUAAUGAUUUUAAAUAUUAAUUAUAAUAAUACAUUUUAUAAAUUAAGGUUUAAAUUUAAAAAUUCUAUUUUAUUAUUUAGAAGUUUAUGAUAUAAGAUUUUUUAUAUUAAUAUUAAACAAAAGAUUUAUUUAUUUUGUAAAUUCUAUCACAUGUGAUUUCUUCCGAUUUUCUUCUUUUCCUUAUAUUUUUUCUCAAAAUUCUCACCAGCCAAACAUAGGAAACCUUUUUUUUUUUAAUUAAUAAAUUGUCCAUUUAUUCCAAAAAAUAAAAAUCUCUUUUCAAAGUGAAUUCUCAAAAAACAUUAUUUAACAUUCUAAAUAACAAAAAACUAUUUUUAAAAACAAAAGUUUAAAUCUCUUGACAUGUUUAAUUAUUUUCAUUUUUUUUUAAAAAAACACAAAAUUCUUAGAAAAUAAAUAAUUUAUUUACCAAAUUCCCAACUUCCAUCCUUCUCUUUGAUUCAAAGGAAAAAAAAAAGAAUUUAAUGGUUUUAUCAUAUUUAAUUAACCAUAAAAGGAUACAAAAACUCAAUUAUAAUUAAUAUUAGUGAAGACUUACAUUUUUAAAUUAUUUAAAUUUUAUAAAAAGGUGACAAAAAUCAAUAAAAUGAAUUUGAAAAAGCAUAUAGAAUUAUUUUUAAAUCUACUAUAUAUUUUAUUUCUAAUUUCUUCUUCUUUUUUCCUACAUUUUUCUUCAAAAUUUUCAAUAACCAAUCAUAGGUAAAGGAAAAUUGUUAGUUUUAAUUUAUUAAUAAAUUGUCAAUUUUAUUCGUCCUAAAUUCCUAAUGAGUGUAGAUUCUUUUUUGUAAAAAAUAUUUCCUAAAUUGAUAUAUCAUUGUAAUAUUAGAUUUACUUAUAAAAUAAAGAAGGUUAUUUGAUUAAAAGGGUCAUAUCCAAUUUUGGAAAUUUAACCCUCCACAUUUUUUGUCUUAUUUUGAUAAAAAUGUCUUCACUAUAUAUAUAUUGUAAAAACAAUAAUUUCUUUUAAAACCUACAUGUAAAUAUUUAAAAUGAUAAAGGACAUUUAUGUCAAUAAUGAGUUAUUUUUCAAGUAAAAACAUGAGAAUGAUUAGAUUUACAAAUUUGGGGAUUAUUUUUAUCCCUUUUAACCGAUUAAUUCUUUUAAAAAAAAUCACUUAAAUCUUGUUUAAAUUGAUUUUUGAAAAGCCAAUUCUUUUCUAAUUCAAUAAAAGCUUCUAAAUUUGUUUGGCUAAUUUGGUUUAAAAAUUUUAUGAUUUGAACAAAAAAAAAAUAAAGAAAAAAAAGCUUAAUAUAAAGUGUAGAAAAUAUUGCUUUUUAUAGAAGCUAUGUUUUAUCUAGGGAAAGUUGUGUUUGCAUCGGCCCAUUUGAAGGUAAUAUGGAAAGCAAACCCAAAGAAACUGGAAUAUGGACUUUGAUCGUUAAUGACAAAACUAUUAUUUUUCUUGUGCACUAUAUACUUUCGGUAAGCUAUUCCAAAAUUGCCCUUUAGUUUUCCCUACCAGCAGCCACCGGUCUCCAUUUUAGCAGCCACCGCGCAAUUUAAUAAACACUCAAAUGUGAACCGGAAAGUUAUGAAAUCUGAAACCUGAUCACAAAAAACACCCGAACCCGGCUGACACUAUUAUUGACCUUUCAUUGAUUUUCAGGUGUUGGGCUUUGUGGAGCCUAGUUUUGUUUGAUCCGGUUUGACGACCCGACCCGAAUAAUAUUGCAUGGCUUUUUUAAUGGGAGAUUUAUUGAGGCCUGUUGGGCCCGUUUAGCCCAUUGUGGAACCACCUUUUGUAAUUAGGGUUUUUUAGUAUGGUAGGGUUGCCGUGCUAUAUAUAUAUAUAGAGAAUAUUGUAGCCGCUAAGUUGUACUCUGUCUUCUUCCUUGAUAAUAGUGAUAUCCCUGCAACUCCGUGGACGUAGGCAAAUUGCCGAACCACGUAAAUACUGUCUUGUGCGUGUGAUUGUUUUUCUUUGGCGUGUGUUUUCUCUAAUUUUUUGUUUCUCACGGGUUGGGAAUUCGGUUUAAUUCCCUACAACUGGUAUCAGAGCCUAGGGUUAGGUUUGAGUGGGAGCAAUGGCAGAGGAAGCAGGAAAGGCGUCUGGAAUAGAAAAGUUUGAUGACACAAACUUUGCGUAUUGGAGGAUGCAGAUUGAAGAUUAUCUCUAUGGGAGGAAAUUGCAUCUGCCUCUUUUGGGGACAAAACUUGAGAGUAUGAAGGCUGAGGAAUGGGCGCUUCUUGACAGACAGGUUCUAGGAGUUAUUAGGUUAACUCUGUCUAGGUCUGUUGCACACAAUGUUGUAAAGGAGAAGACCACAGCAGAUCUGAUGAAGGCUUUGUCCGGUAUGUAUGAAAAGCCAUCCGCAAACAAUAAGGUGCAUCUGAUGAAGAAAUUGUUCAAUUUGAAGAUGGCAGAGAAUGCAUCAGUAGCACAACAUCUGAAUGAAUUUAAUACAAUCACAAAUCAAUUGUCGUCUGUAGAAAUUGAUUUUGAUGAUGAGAUUCGUGCUCUGAUCGUCUUGGCUUCUUUGCCAAACAGUUGGGAGGCAAUGAGGAUGGCAGUAAGCAAUUCUACAGGAAAGGAAAAGCUCAAGUACAAUGAUAUACGAGAUUUAAUUCUGGCUGAGGAGAUUCGCCGAAGAGAUGCAGGUGAAACCUCAGGAUCUGGUUCUGCCCUAAACCUUGAGACAAGAGGCAAAGGUAAUAACAAAAAUUCAAAUCAGGGUAGGUCAAAUUCCAGAAAUUCUAAUCGGAACAGAAGCAAAUCUAGAUCAGGCCAACAAGUACAAUGCUGGAAUUGUGGGAAAACAGGUCACUUUAAAAGGCAAUGCAAAAGCCCUAAGAAGAAGAAUGAAGAUGAUUCUGCUAAUGCUGUAACAGAAGAGGUACAGGAUGCAUUACUUCUUGCAGUAGAUAGUCCACUUGAUGAUUGGGUUUUGGAUUCAGGAGCUUCGUUUCAUACCACUCCACACCGAGAAAUCAUACAGAAUUAUGUUGCAGGUGAUUUUGGUAAGGUGUAUUUGGCUGAUGGUUCAGCCUUGGAUGUUGUGGGUCUGGGAGACGUCCGGAUAUCAUUGCCCAAUGGGUCUGUUUGGUUACUGGAGAAGGUUCGACUUAUUCCUGACCUGAAGAGGAAUCUGAUUUCUGUUGGACAACUUGAUGAUGAAGGACAUGCAAUACUAUUUGUUGGUGGUACUUGGAAGGUUACAAAGGGAGCUAGGGUAUUGGCUCGUGGAAAGAAGACUGGCACUCUGUAUAUGACCUCAUGUCCAAGAGACACAAUUGCAGUUGCUGAUGCAAGUACUGAUACAAGCCUAUGGCACCGCAGACUUGGUCACAUGAGUGAGAAAGGGAUGAAGAUGUUGCUGUCAAAAGGAAAACUACCAGAAUUGAAGUCCAUUGAUUUUGACAUGUGUGAAAGUUGCAUCUUAGGAAAGCAAAAAAAGGUGAGCUUCUUGAAAACUGGCAGGACACCGAAGGCUGAAAAAUUGGAACUAGUACACACUGAUUUGUGGGGGCCUUCUCCGGUUGCAUCCCUAGGAGGUUCAAGGUACUACAUCACCUUUAUUGAUGACUCAAGUAGAAAGGUAUGGGUUUAUUUUCUGAAAAAUAAAUCUGAUGUAUUUGUAACUUUUAAGAAGUGGAAGGUCAUGGUUGAGACAGAAACAGGUUUGAAAGUAAAAUGUUUGAGGUCAGAUAAUGGAGGAGAGUACAUAGAUGGAGGAUUCAGUGAGUAUUGUGUUGCACAGGGAAUUAGGAUGGAGAAGACCAUUCCUGGGACACCACAGCAGAAUGGUGUGGCUGAGCGCAUGAAUAGAACUCUCAAUGAGCGUGCUAAAAGUAUGAGGUUGCAUGCUGGACUACCAAAAACUUUUUGGGCUGAUGCUGUUAGCACUGCAGCUUACCUGAUAAAUCGAGGACCAUCAGUUCCCAUGGAGUUCAGACUUCCUGAGGAGGUUUGGAGCGGUAAAGAGGUGAAGUUUUCACAUUUAAAAGUUUUUGGUUGUGUUUCUUAUGUUCAUAUUGAUUCUGAUGCUCGUAGUAAACUUGAUGCAAAGUCAAAAAUAUGUUUUUUCAUUGGUUAUGGUGAUGAGAAAUUUGGCUAUAGGUUUUAGGAUGAACAAAACAGGAAAAUCAUCAGAAGUAGAAAUGUGAUAUUUAAUGAACAGGUUAUGUACAAGGAUAUGUCAACUGUAACGUCAGAUGUUACAGAGAUAGAUCAAAAGAAAUCUGAGUUUGUCAACUUAGAUGAAUUGACUGAAAGUGCUAUCCAAUAAGGGGGUGAAGAAGAUAAGGAGAAUGUGAAUUCACAGGUAGAUCUGAGUACACCUGUAGUUGAAGUUCGCAGAUCUUCUAGGAACACUAGACCUCCGCAGCGUUAUUCACCUGUUUUAAAUUAUCUCCUGUUGACUGAUGGUGGUGAGCCAGAGUGUUAUGAUGAAGCCUUGCAAGAUGAGAAUUCAAGCAAGUGGGAGUUAGCCAUGAAGGAUGAGAUGGAUUCCCUGUUGGGGAAUCAGACAUGGGAACUGACUGAAUUGCCAGUAGGAAAGAAGGCUUUGCACAACAAGUGGGUAUACAGAAUAAAGAAUGAGCAUGAUGGUAGCAAACGUUACAAGGCCAGAUUAGUUGUUAAAGGGUUCCAACAGAAGGAGGGCAUUGACUACACAGAGAUAUUUUCUCCAGUUGUGAAGAUGUCAACAAUUAGACUUGUACUUGGAAUGGUGGCCGCAGAAAACUUACAUCUUGAGCAGUUAGAUGUGAAGACAACAUUCCUUCAUGGUGACUUGGAGGAAGACCUUUACAUGAUUCAGCCAGAAGGGUUCAUUGUUCAAGGACAAGAGAAUCUAGUCUGCAAACUGAGAAAGAGCUUGUAUGGCCUUAAACAAGCUCCUAGACAGUGGUAUAAGAAGUUUGACAAUUUUAUGCAUAGAAUUGGGUUCAAGAGAUGUGAAGCUGAUCAUUGUUGCUAUGUUAAGUCCUUUGACAACUCUUACAUCAUAUUACUAUUGUAUGUGGAUGAUAUGCUUAUUGUNNGGUCUGACAUUGAGAANNNNNNNNNNNNNNNNNNNNNNNNNNNNNNNNNNNNNNNNNNNNNNNNNNNNNNNNNNNNNNNNNNNNNNNNNNNNNNNNNNNNNNNNNNNNNNNNNNNNUUUUCUUGCCAAAAAUUCGGCUUUUCAUUCAAAGUCGAAACAUAUACAAACAAAAUACCACUUUAUCCGUUAUCUUGUUGAGGAUAAACUGGUAAUACUUGAGAAGAUUUGUGGAUCUAAGAACCCUGCAGACAUGUUGACUAAGGGUGUCACUAUUGAGAAGUUGAAGCUAUGCGCAGCUUCAAUUGGUCUUCUAGCUUGAGGACAGGAGGAUGAGUUGUAGGGAUGAGGGAUCGUUUCUUGGAGGAUAACGGUUUGAUGUUGGUGAUUGGACUAGUCUCCAAGUGGGAGAUUUGUUGGGCUUUGUGGAGCCUAGUUUUGUUUGAUCCGGUUUGACGACCCGACCCGAAUAAUAUUGCAUGGCUUUUUUAAUGGGAGAUUUAUUGAGGCCUGUUGGGCCCGUUUAGCCCAUUGUGGAACCACCUUUUGUAAUUAGGGUUUUUUAGUAUGGUAGGGUUGCCGUGCUAUAUAUAUAUAGAGAAUAUUGUAGCCGCUAAGUUGUACUCUGUAUUCUUCCCUGAUAAUAGUGAUAUCCCUGCAACUCCGUGGACGUAGGCAAAUUGCCGAACCACGUAAAUACUGUCUUGUGCGUGUGAUUGUUUUUCUUUGGCGUGUGUUUUCUCUAAUUUUUUGUUUCUCACGGGUUGGGAAUUCGGUUUAAUUCCCUACAUCAGGGGCAUGAGGUAUGUGGGUAUCCGUGAAUCAUGUUUUUCUUCAGUGGGUAUGGAUUAUUUUCGAAGUGUUCUAUGAUCUUCUUGCUCUUAUCAUGGGUUACUUCGGAAACUUGAAUGUUAAUGGUGUUGGUUUACAAUAUUUUCGAAAUUGCCGAAUGAUAGUUUUACUACAUUCUUGUGGGGUUUUUCUAUUUGUUUCUUUUAUCUUUUAUUAAUUGUGUUGCAAUUUGUGGUUUCAUACAGGAGAGUGGCUUUUGCUUUGUGUGAACUGCAAAUUGUACAGGAACAUAUUAAGGAUUUUCUUUCUUUUUUGUUUUUAUUGGGAAUAGUUUUCUAGGAUGGUUAAGUAUGAAUUCUUUGAGAACAUCUGUACCAGAAAUCGUGAAGAAAAUCUUGAGUUGAUCGUAGUGUGUGAAUAAUGAUUAAGCAUGAUGGAUUAAGUGUUUCAAAUGUACCAUAUUGAUGACAGCAUUUUGCGUAGAUGGUGCCUUAAAUUCCUAGGUGUCGGGUAAUGCUAGCUGAUAGGAUUGUUGAAUUCACCUAUUCCUAGUAGCCUGUGUGGCUGGUUUAAAGAAGGAAAUGGAUUAUAUCAAUUUUUUGGUUGCAAAUGACUAUUUAUUUGUCUAUUUAUUUAUUCUUUUCUUAACUUUUUCCCCUUAUAAUCCAUUAUCACAGAAUGUUUUUGGACCUUGUUCAGUUUUUAUUUAACAAAAUUCCAAUUGAUUUCGUGUUGCAAAUGUUUUUAAGAUUAUUUUGUGUCUCUGAGGUUGUCAUUGUUUCUAAUUGUUUGCGAGGGGAGGAGACAUCCUCUUUUUGUCUCUUUUAUUUUAUUUUAUUUUAUUUCAUUUUAUUUUUAUUGUUUUGUAUUUAUAAUUUAAAUCAGAAAUAAAAAAAUUUAUUAUAUGUCUCCCUUUUUGUUGACAUUCAAAUCUUCCUAAGAACAUGGCUAUAGGCAUCAGAAUUACAUAGAAGCAAUUAAGGGUGUACUAGAAAUUACAUUUACUUUUCCUCGGUUUAUGUUUCAAAUUCAAUUCUUGUUUUUCCUAAAAAGUUAAUCCUUCCUCACACCAUAUAUCAAGUUGAGAACAUUUGCCUUUCUUGGUGUCUUUUAUUAGCUGAACAAUAUGAUUAGGUUCAAUACACAUUUAUGUGCAUGUAUUUAUACAUAUGCAUCUAUUUACGAAAUACCUAAGGACAAUGGUUUUGAAUAAAGACUUAUGAGAAGGUAUCACAAUAGAUACAGUGGAAUGGUCAAAAGGUGGAGCAAUAAUAUUGGUAAGCAAUUUAAUAAUGCUAACACAAGCCAUUAUGCUCUUUGUUGACAUUAAUUUAAUUAAAAAAACACUACAAGAAAAAUGGGAAAUAAUGACGCUUAUAAGAAGUGUCAUAAUUGUAUUAUUUACCUUGACACUUAUUAUAAGUGUCAUUAUUUGAUGUGGUAUUUUUCCUUAUAACUGUGUAUAUAAUGACGCUUAUAAGAAGUGUCAUAGUUUUAUUAUUUACCUUGACACUUAUUAUAAGCAUCAUUAUUUGAUGAGUAUGUAAUCACGCUUCUAAGAAGUGUCAUAGUUGUAUUGACUUUUAAAAUUUUUGUUUUUAAGUUAACUUAUACAAAUUUUGAUAUUAGAAUUUUAUUCUAUAAAUUAAUUAUGGUAAAUUGACACUAAUAUUAAUGACAUAAAGUUGCUACAUUAAGGUUUUUUUAAAAAAAAUUGGAUAUAAAUAAAAUAAAUCCUAAUAAUUUUUUUUUUAUUAUUUGAUAUUAAUUUUUUUUAUAGUUUGUAUCAAUACAAUCUAUUUUCAUAAACUAUUUUUCAUUUUUAUUAAAUUAGAAAUUAUCUUAUAUUUCAUUUAAAAAUAAUUUGUUAAUUUAUGUGUGGACCACAAAAAAGUGCCCUAUUUUGAGCACUUGUUCGGGCCUUGGACCACAUUUAUUGGGUUUAACCCAUUAUUUGAGAAGGUUUUAUAGUUAAUGAAUAUAAAUUUGAAAUUAUUUAACUAAAAUGAAAUAAAUUAAUAUUUAAAUUAAUUUAAUGAUGAUUAGACUCACAAUAAAACUAAAUGCAAUAAGAAUAUUUAUAAAAAUUUUCUAAUAUUUAUGGGAAAUAAGCUCAUUCUAUUAAAUUAGUUUUUUUUUUUUAAAAUAUCAAUAUUCAAAUUAAACCAACAUCAACCUAAAAUAUCAAAUAAUUAAACAAUAUAAAUUCAUUAUGAGUUCAAUAUAUAAAAAUUAUUAUUGGAAGAUGAAAUAAAGAAUACUAUUUUUAAUUUAUUGAAAAAGGACAUGCGUGGUAUUUUAGAAUUUGUUAUAAAGUCCAAAGAGAAAAGAAGGGACGAAAAAGACAUAUUUCAUACUUCAAUAAGCCUUUACCAUUUUCUUUACUGAAAACCCUAAAUUUUCACUCUCCAUUGAAAACCCUAACUUUUGGAAGACAAGAAAGAAGGGAGAGAGCCACCGUUUUUAGAGAGAAAGAAGAGAAGAGAGAAAAACACAGGUUUUUCUCAUCAUGCCCAGAUUUCAUCAAAGGUCCGAUCCCACUUCGUCCGUGGUCCGAUCGAGCUAAAAUUUGGAGGAGAGUUUCAUGACUCAUUUAUCUUCAAUAUGAACGGUGAAGAUCGGAUUUGGAGUUUCGGAAAGUCAUUAGAAAGAAAGAGGAGAAGAGAGAAAAACGCAGGUUUUUCUCAUCAUGCUCAGAUUUCAUCAAAUGUCUGAUCCCGCUUCGUCCGUGGUCCAAUCGAGUUGAAAUUUGGAGGAAAGGUUCGUGGCUCAUGUAUCUUCAAUAUGAACGAUGGAGAUCGGAUUUGGAGUUUUGAACAGUCAUUACAGAGAAAGAGGAGAAGAGAGAAAAACGCAAAUUUUUUUCAUCAUGCCCUAAUUUUAUCAAAGGUCUGAUGCAGCUUUGUCCAUGGUCUGAUCGAGCUGAAAUUUGAAGGAGAGGUUCACAGCUCAUUAAUCUUCAAUUUGAACGGUGAAGAUCGGAUUUAGAGUUUUGGAAAGUCAUCUUUCUUGUUUUGGUGGGCUUUUCUCUCCGGACUGUUUUGAUCAUUAGCUUUGAUCGAGGUCAAUUCGUAGUCCGAUUGAGUUGCAAUUUUGGGAGCACAUUCAGGACACAUUGAUCUUCAUUCUAACAGUGGAGAUUGGAUUUGGAGUUUGGAAAAAUGGUAUUUCAGUCCAAGAACAGUGGUUAUGUUUAGUGAGAUCUCUCCAUUAUUCUGGAUUUAAUUUUGGAUUUAUCUAGUGUUUAUCUUAUAGUGAUUUACUAUUUUUGAUAUAAAUCAAAUUUGUUUACUUUUCAUGUCACCUGCUUUGCUAACUAACAAAUUAGAGCAGUUUCUUCUUUUAUUUAAUCAACCAGAUGAAGAUCUUAAUUGGUUCAAAUUAUAGAUAUUCUCAAUCAAUUGAUAAAUUAUAGAUAUAUUGCAUCCACCAAGUGUUCGAUGCUUAGUCCAUGAGAAGCCAAGUGCUUAAAUCAAUUGUUUAGCUUAUUAUUUUUAUUAUUAGUUUUAUUAUUUCUUCCCUUAAAGGCAUUCUUGAAGAGCUUGGGAAGUUCAUGGGAGGUAAUAAAGUCACUGAACUUUUGAGUUAGUUUGAAGUGCUUGAUUCAAAUCCAUCACCAUGAUGACUUAGAUUCUUAUUUUAUUCUUGUAAAAAAAAAAAAAAAAACUUCAUUUUGACACUUUUUUAAUCAUAUAUUCUCAAUUAUAUGAUAAGUAAAAAUAGUAAUUCCAUUAAUAUUUUAUAUUUUAAUAUUUUGCAUAACCUACCAUGCAUGAAUUACCUCAUGUUUUAUUGAUUUCACAAGUUGGUUUGAGUUUUUGUGGUUUGAUUUCAUUUGGUUCAAGUUGUACCUUGUUAUUUUGGAGCUGGUUUUGGGAGUGAAAAAUGGUGAUUCGUUGAAGAGAAGAGAGAUUGGGAUUUUUCUUUUAGGAGAGUAGAAGUGUGAAGAAAGGGUGAGAAUUUUCUAGGUAAGAGGAAACAAGAGAACAAGGGUUGUUCAAUUAAAGAUUUUUGAUAGAGGGAGAGAAGAAAAUUGAGGGAAGAAGCUGUGAGAGAAGGAGAGUUGUUUUGGGUGCUAGGCAAAAGGCAAGAAGUGAGGGUUGUUCGGUUAGAUAUCUUUGAUAAAAAGAGUGAAGAAAAGGAGAGAUGGAGUUGUGAGAGAAAGAAAGAUAGAGAGGAAGACAUAUGAAGACUAUGUUAAUUUGUUAAUGGAAAGAUUGAGGGAAAUGUUGAAAGAGGAAAAAAAGAAGGAAAGAAAAUAUAAGAUUGUUUGGUUGUUCAUGGAAAGCUUGAGGGAAAUGGGAGAAAGAGGAAAAAGAGAAGGAAAAAAAAUGUAAGAUUGCUUGGUUGUCCAUGGGAAAAUUAUUAAAUUUAAGAUGAAUGCAUAUUUCCUACCUCUAUUCAAUGAAAAUUGAGAGGAAAAUCUUUAGACAUCUUUUCUACUUUUUUCCUUAAUAUUUUUUUCUUACAUUUUCCCAUAAUAUAUAAAAUUUCCCUUUGAAACUUUAUUUACGUUUUGUUCUUUGGAUUAUAUAUUUGAUUUUUUGUUUUUUAGGUAGAAGAAUGAUGAAUAAAAUAUAUUUUAUUGGAGAAAAUCAACUAAUAAUGCUCUUUACAGUUUAGUUCGUGGUAAAUAACUCAAAACCCCAUUUAGAAAUUUAUUUUUCUAUUGCUCUUGAAUCACCUAAACUAAAAUAAAAAAAGAAAAGAAAAGAAAGAACUAGUGUUUUUUCUAUUGUUUAAUUUUCUCAAAAUUUUCUACUUUUCAUUUUAUAUUGGUUCUUGUGUUUUUUUUUCCUUUAAGAUUUUUGUGAGAGUUUUAGUUUGAAUUGCACUUUUUGGUUUUUGCAUUUAUAAUUGAGAGAUUUUUUAUUCUCCUUGUAUUUGUUUAUAGGUUUCAAAGGAAAUUGGUUGGCCAAAAGACAAGAAAUCAUAAUGUUGAAGGAGGUAGUGAUGCCGAAAACCAUGAAGAUUACAUCAAAGUCAUUUGGAGGAUGAUCUUAUUUUUUUUAUAGAAUAUAGUUCUUAAUAGUUGUUGCACUAAUAUUUGUUCUUUUGUAGAAUUAGAAAUUGUUAUUGAAAUAUUUUGAUAUAAUUAACAAAUUUGUAUGUAAUUAUUGUAUGUAAGUAUGAAGUUACAUUAAUGGUUUGAAUUGUAUAUCAAUAUUUGAAACUAUUUUUAUUAGUAAAAUUUAGUUUAAUUUUGGGGCUUUUUUAAUUUUUAUUUAAUUGUAUAGGAAAUCAUUAUUUUAAUAAUAGGAUAUAAAAUAAUGUGUCAUGGAUAAAAUCUAUUAAAUAUGACACUUCUAUAAAUGUCAAGAUUGCUUAUUUCAUAAAAAUGAUAUCACUAGAAAAUGUUUAAAGUUGACGCUUCUUACGAGUGUCGUUGUUAACAUUAUCCAAAGAUGAUGCUUCUUUAAACGUCAUUGAAAGUAUUUAUCAAAGAUGGCGAUUCCUAAAAGCGUCAUUGUUGCCUAAGACAUACAAUGACAGGGCCGAAAAGGACGCUUUAGAGAAGCGUCAUCUUUUUCCUUUCUUGACGCUUAAAAAACGUCAUUAUUUCCCAUUUUUCUUGUAGUGAAAAAUGGGAAAGUUGUGUUUGGAGCCGCCCAUUUGAAGGUAAUAUGGAAAUCAAAGCCAAAGAUUGUGCAAUAUGGGAUUUGACCGUGAGCGGGAAAACUAUUAUUAUUCUUGUGCACUCUGUGCGUAGUUCCUUUUAUCUCCCUAGAGUACCCUUUUACAGACUCCAUGUCAGCAACAUUUAAUGUCUCAAAGUCAGCAGGAUAUAUCUAAAAUUGAAUAAAACACAAAAAUGUAAAAGUUAAUGAUGUUGGGUUACAUCUCCUCAUGCCUGGCCUGAGAACAUAAAAUUUUCCAAACACCCAAUCUUGUUUAUCUCAUUUUAGCAAAAGAAACCCUAAAAUGUCCAAUCUAUCUCCACUAUCUUAGCAACCAAACGGAGCACUUCAUGGUAAGAACACUAGUAACUAGCCCUACUAAAGGCAAUGGCAAUGCACUUGUAAAGAAUUGUUGUCUUCUUACUUUCUUGUAUCACCAUCAUUGUCAUCAUUAACAAAGCCUUAUCCAAAGACAAAUCAUGUGUUGUUUCCAUCCUAAGAACCCAUGUCGUCACUCUUUACUCUACAGUUAAAAAUAUAGAACUAUGAAUAAUCUCAUAGUGAAUUGAAAUCCCCAGAGAAUUGAACCAAUCCAUUGUAUUAGACAUAGGGUACAAAAUGAAUCCAUGGUGUCUUUGGGAGUGCUCUGAUGCGCAUACUUAUUUUUCUUGUACACUUAGGACUACAGUAAAUGAUCUAUUUUCUAUUGAUCAUGGUGAUGGUAGUGAUUCCUCUAUAUGCAGUAUUUGCUUGAGCACACAAAUGGUCAUGUUCAAUUUAUGUUUGACAUCCAAAACUAGCCCUUGUUAAUUCAAGUCCAUUCAGCAUUCUGCCCCACCUUCUAACUUACAACUCCUAAUUCUCUCUUCUCAUGGGCAGAUGUAAAAAUAAGAUCUAAAAUCAGUUUGUAAUAUGUUGAAUGCAUGAAAAGGCAUUAAAAAAUUCAUGCCAUUUCUCAAGGACUUUUCUCAUGUUUCAUCGUUAUGCAAUUUCACCAAUUGGCUACUAUAUAUUAGGACGUUUAACUAUGGCAAGGAACUUGUCUGAAUGAAUACUAUUUCAUCUCAGUAACAUUCCUUUAUAUUGGACUCACCCCUAGAUAGACAUGCAAUAUAUACUAUAAUUUCUCAACGUUUUCAAUCUCUGGAUUCACUGGUUUUGGUUGCUAACCAUCUGCUCAGAAUUUUGGCCCUGGAACCAAAUACAAGAAUGACAUAAUCAACCUAUUUUUUUUCACAACUGGCCCAUGUCCAGUGAACUAUAAGUCUGUGUGUCAACCCUUAAGGUUGUCCAUUAUAUUUUGCUAUCAAUUUAUAUAUAUUACUAUUCUUUUUCUACCUAAAGAUUUUACAAGAUACUGGGGAAAAACCUUGACUUCUUCAGGGGCUUUGCUCUUUUGAUUAUAUUGGGUGGAAUGCAUUCCUGAUCUUCAACCACCUUUUAUUUAUUUUAUUUUUUUUUAUUUUUUUUUAUGGAUGAAGUAACUUUGUGACAAAGAGUUACGGUUGCGGAAACCAAAGAAAGAUGGGAACCGCCACAACGGAAGCACCUAAUGGAGAAUUUGGUGACUUUCAGGCCAGUAAUGCAAGCAAUUGUCCUACCACCAUAAAACAAUAGCACCUGGGUCGUCUGCCCAAUCACAAUGACUUGGUUCUAUGUCUAAAUAUCACAUGACAAAAGAUGAGGUUACCAUCAUAGCAUUUGAAGUGAUUUGUGUAUAUACUCCAAUGAUUCAAUUGUUCCGUACCAUUAUGGAAGGAGAUUUGGGAAUGAAAAAAAUCAAUCUACUUUCAUUCGGUAUUAUGGCUUAAAUUCUUUGACUCUUUAAUAUUCAGUCAAAUUCUCAUUUUUGAUAAUUGAAUGCACCUUUAUAGUCCCAUAUUCACUAACUCCAAACAGGAACUUGGUACAGGUUUUGCAGUAUACAAAUCGCUUUCCUCCAUGAACAUCUCUCAUGGAAUUGCAUUCAACAUUCUCACUUUCAUGAUUAAGUGCCUCAUCAUAAAGAGAUGUUCCUGCAUUUAAGCUAACUAGCUAAUAAAUUAAUAAAGUCCUAAAUGGAUAAGAACAUGGGUCUAAAAACCCCAAUCUUAUAAAUCUAGGAAUACAAGAAUAUUUUUACUGUGAGAAACUUCUUUGUUCUUGAAAACUCUUUCUUAUUUGCUGUAAUCAAGUAGCAGUCUCACUGAAAACAUAUUGGAUGGGUACACAAAGAUGGUUCUCAAAGGACAGUCUGAUAAACAUUGUAGUAAGUAGUAAGCUAAUAUUUGAGUUCUAAGGCUUCAGCAAUGAUGAUUUUGUUGAGAAAAUUUUCAACCUUACUCACCUUACUCCUAUAGUCCUGAUUCUAAAGCCUUAAACUUUUAAAUUUUUGUCCAUACUUUUGGUGGAAUUAUUAAUGACUUCUCUAGUCUCAGAAAUUAAAAUAAUAUCAAUAGCAAACAAAAUACACCAUGACACUUCAUCCAAGAUAUGCCUAAUAAGUUCAUCCAAACUAAUGCAAAAAAUAAAGGCUUAAUAUCAACCCAUUUUUUUCUUUGAUAGGCAAAUAAUCAUUUUUUUUCAUUAUAAAAACAACAUCUAAACAGAAGGGUGUACUAGGGCAUACAUGGUAUACACAAAGGUGUCAGCGAGUGGCCUACUCUGCAUUCCUUAUGGCAACUCUACGACUCAUGCAACCUAUAAACUAUGUAGAGGUAAAUACUUUGCUAUAUUAAGCUAUUGAAGGAACAAUGCAGGCUAAUGACCCUUUUUUCCAGUCAUCAUUCAAGGAAAAAAAAAAAAAAGACUGCAAAUGGACUAUGCCUGGCCAUGGGAACUGAACAGAUUACCUAUCUUUUGAGCAACCCCAACCCUAAGACCAUUCAUAGUUGCCUCAAAAAAUUUAUAAAAUUUGUUAAUUAGGCUUCAUUUUAUAAGUGAAAUUUCUGGAUAUUGCUAAACUAGAAUGUGCAAUUAUCAAGUUCAUGGAAAUUUAUCAUAUAAGUUAAAAAGGAAGUCUUUCUUCCUAGAAGGUGUAUAUGAAUAUAGAAUCAUAGGAAUCAUAGAUGCAAACAGUAAAAUAGUUGAGAUUUAAUCAUCCUAAAAAAUAAUAUUUAGUUUCAAUAUGUUCUUAGACUAGUUUCUCUUCUGAUGUUCAUUAUAACACCUUUGGCCCUAAUAUGUUCUCAACACCCAAACGAAUGCUUAAAUAAAAAACUCACCUGUGAUUGAUUGAGGAAGCUCCACUUCGGUUUCUAGAAACCUUUAAAAAAUCAACCUUUGAUGAAGAAAUAUGAAGAUUUGCCUCGACUUUGGCUUCCUUGAAGGUUUUCGGAAGAAACCUAUCGGGUUUGGGUUGUCACCUCGUGAAGAGACACGCUAGGGUUAAGGUAGAAUCAGACGAAGUCGGCUUUCGGAAGAUAGGUAUCCAUCGCUUGCUCAAGACCUUAAUAAACAGAUCAGUUGUAUCAAAUGAGCUAUGAAAAUGGAAUUUUUUUUAGAUCUAGUUAGGGAAAAACGAGAGAAAGUGACUGAGAUAACUUUAAGUUUCAAAUGUUUCUUGGGUCGAGUGCUUUGUGGGUUUCAAACUUUAUAUAACUUCAAGUUUCACAUUUUAGUGUUUCUAAAAUUGCACACCGGCCUGCUGACAUGGAGACCGGUGGCUGCUGAUAGGGAAAACUAAAGGGCAAUUUUGGAAUAGCUUACCGAAACAGUAUAUAGUGCACAAAAUAUCUCUUAUUCUCUUUUAUUUCCUUUCAUUUUCUUUAUUCUUCAUCUCAUUUUUUUUCUUUCUUUCUCUCUAACCCGUGGCCACCUCUCACCGUUGCUCGUGGCUCCAUUGUUGGAGGUGCCAUUGCCGGCGAUAGUCCUCUUCGAUGCCGACGAUCAUUCCUCCCUCCUACCAUAUUCUUUAUUUUUUUUUUCUCUCUCUCCCUCUCUCUUCUUUCUUACCCAUCAUCAUCUACCACAAUCUCUCACCAUGGCCAUUAUCCUUCCAUCUUUAUCCGGUGACGGUUGUUAUUAUUGUGGUUACCCUCUCAUUGCAGCUUUAUACUCCACGUGACUUCAAGACCAUGGGUAAACCCUACCUUUUGAUUUUUAUGUCUUAUAUUUGGGUUAUUGGAUUUUGUUUGUGGGCUUGAAUUCGGGUUGAACUUAGUUUCAAUAUUAUUUGGGCCUUGGGCUUAUUGGUAUUUGGAUUGUAUUUUGGGUUGGGCCUACUUUGUUAAUUGGAUUUGAUUUAUGAUUUGAGAUUUGGGCUUAGUAUGUUGUUUCAGAAUUACCAUUUCAAUUGAAUUACAUUAGGGUUUUUCUUUUAUUUUUAUGGGGCUUGUAUAUUAUCUAGGCUCUGCUUAUUUCUUUUGCUUUUUCAUUUGGGUUAUUUUUGUUUUUGCAUUGAUCCAUUUUGUAAUUCCGUUGGUUGAGUACGAAUUUAUGACACGUGGUGCAUGGAAUUUCAUAGAAGAAAAUGAGAAUCGAAAAACUGUAAGAAGACAUUGAACUUAUUGUAAGCUUAUUGAGGUACACGUUUCAUUUCCUACUACUAUUUAAUUUUAAUUUUAUUGGUUUCUGUAAAUAUUUGUUUGUAUAUGUUUAUUUGUUGUAUACAAAAUUGGAUAUUUAACAAAUCAGAAAUUUUGUUUAAAUAAGAUGAAUAAUUUAAUAAAUAUGUUUUAAUAAAAUAAUAAUUUUAAAAUAUUAUUCUUAAUAAAAAUUCAGAAAAAUGCUUUUAGAAAAUCCAAAAAAAUUUGUUUUUAAUAGAAUUUGAAAAAUUGUUUUUAAUAAUAAUUGUCUAAAAAUUGCUUUUAAUAAAAUUGUCCAAAAAUUAUUUUCUAAAUAAAGUUGUCCCAAAAAUUAUUUUUUAAUAAAAUUGUCCAAAAAAUAUUUUUUUAAAAAUAAAUUCUUUUUCCUUAAUUAAAAUGGGAUUUAAAGUAAUUUUUAGAAAUAGAGGAUUUAAUUUUUUUUCUUUUUAAUUAAAAAUUCUUUUGCAAAUAAAUUAAUAUUUUUUUAAUAAUUUGUAUAAGUCAAUUUUCUUAAAUGAAAAUAAAUUGAAAUAUUUUUUUUAAAAAAAAAAUCUAAAAAUUCAUUCUUUUAUAGUAAAAACAAGUAAAAAUAAUUUUUGUGCCCAAAUUGAAAUUUUGUAAUAAAUUCUUUUAAUACAAUAAGUGUAAAUAAAUUUUUUUGAAAAUUGAAUACAAAUGAAAUUGAGAAAAUAAAUUGACUAUGUUUUGUAAAUAAAUAAAUUGAAAUCAUUAAUUCAAAAUUGUUUUUAAUAAAAUCCUUUGAAAUUUAUUGAAAACUAUUUUUUUAAAUAUUUUUUUAUUUAGUUCAAUAAAUUAUUUUGCAUAAUUCUCUUGUUAUUUAUUUUGUGUAUUCUUGUAAUUAGAUUUCAUCAUUAUUUUUUGUAUAUAUUGAUUUUCACCAUGACUUGUACAUUGAUUAUUUUGCUUGGUAUCCAUAAUUAAUUAAUUGUCAUAAUUCCCUUAAUUCGUUUAGUAGAGGCCGUAUGUAUACGAACUUAGAGGGGUGCUACGACUCACCACCGUACAUUCCCAAUAGCUAACCUGACUCCCGAACCCGACUUUGGUUUUUCAUAGACUGUUUUUUCCAAAUAAAGAGUCACACUUAGGGUUUUCUUUCUUAUUUUGUUUUUCCUUAAAAAAAUAAAACAAAAAUAAGUGGCGACUCCAAGUCUUUUUUAAAAAAAUCAAAAUUUCACCAAAUAAAUGAAAAACGAGUCUCACCAUUCGAGUGAGAACGCAUGUGAAAAACGCGGGUCCACAAAAUGACGACUCCAUUGGGGAUGUUUAGAGGGUCAAACUUGAACUCGAGUUGAGGGAAAUGUGGCAUUUGAUUGGUCGAUUAGUGGAUACCCAUCUCUAUGUGCUUUUAUAUGAUUGGAUGUUGAUUACAUGUUGAAAGCUUUGAUAUGUUUAUCGAUCCGUGAUGCAUGUUUAGUUAUUAUUGUUCAUUGGAUAUGUUCACAUGUUGAUUAUAUCGAUUGAUUAUCUUGCUUACUUUAGCAUAUGACUCUUCUUGUUGCAUGAUUAUCUUGCUUUCCUUGACAUGUAUAUUCUCAUUUUUGUAUAUCUAAUUCAUCUUGGCAAGAUUGAUUUUCUUUGUUGUAUAAUAUCUUGUUUGUCUCAACAUAUUGUCUAUUAUGCUAUAUACCUAUCUUGUUUAUCCUAUUUCUGCCUAGCUUGGGUGUAGAUAUGAGUGAUAUACCUAUUAUUUGCAUGACUGUUUGGUGCAAUGACUACUCUUCUUCUGUGUGAUGCAUGUGUUGCUUGUCUAUGCGGGACACACAUCUAUCCCCUUACCUCCAAUUCCCUAGUCUUGGUCGACCUUGUUUUCCUUGAUCUCAUAUUUGAUACGAGACUUGUUACUUUGUUUGCUCUUCGACCGAGUUAGUGAUUCAUAGUAGGGUUUAGUGUUGGACUAUAUUUAUGUUUGGGAGCAUUCUGGAGAAGACCAACACAUUGAUGCUGAUUGGAGUCCGAUCUUUGAAGACCUAUAUAGCCCAAAGCUAGGUUUCAUGGAUAUUUAUGUGACCAGUGUGUUUUUUUUUUCCACUUAGUUUGAUAUGAUUUUCGAAUGCAUCCACACCACUCACUGUGCACUUUAGUUGACUACUGAGUGCUAAGAGUUGUAAGAGUUUUCACCAUAGGAAACCUCCUGGGAUGUCGAAGUAGUGCAUGUGUGGAGGUGAUGACUACCUUGCAUGUAAAUGCUCCCAUCUCUUCUGAGGUGUGUAGGAGGUUGCGUAUCGCCAAAUGGUACAAUAGCUUCUGCUAGAGAUCCUUUAAAGUCCACUCAUUUUUCUUUUUAGAGCCGCUUUGACCUUGUAGGUUGAGCCUUAGAUCUUUUGAUUAGGAUUUCAUUUCCUACACAUGGGUGCAUCUGAGAGGCUUCGGGGCCACUUUAGUCACAGUUUGGAUCCAAUACUCCAUUUUUUUGGUCUCCAAUUAAGAGUGCUCAGAGAUUAGUGUGAGUUUGAGUAUCAGUUGGACCAUCCCUUGUUGUGUAGUGUUGACUCAUUCUAGUCUUUUGUUGUGUCUAGCAUGCUUCUUUCCUAGGGUUUUAGAUAGAUUUCAUCUCUCGAGUUAUCAUUUUUUCGAUUGAUUGUCACUAUGCUUGACAUUUUAGGAUAUGUUCAUUGAUUAUACCCACCCUUUUACAUUCUUCAUGUGUCAUGGGCUUAGUAUUUCAUUCUUUGGUUGAUUUGCCUAUUUAUAUUUUCAACCCGAUAUUUUCAUUACAGAAAGGUGAAAGGCAUGUUUUCACAUUCACACCAUUUUUUAGAGGUUCACCUUUAUCACCUUAUCAUUUUUCUUUAUGGAGCUUGGAUUGAAAGUGAAUGAAAUAAUAUUUUGUUAUAAAUGGAGUAUCGAUCUCAUGACAGUGUUGUUUUUCACACCUCAUUCAUUUUAUGGAUUAUUGAUAAAGAUUCUUUAGUCACAUUUGUAGCCAUCUCAUAGUGGACAUUUUUAGGACCUUAGAGUUUUUGUCAUAUUUCCAAUUUUAGAUUGCCAUCGCAGGACCAUAUAUCUCAUGAUGUGUUAUACUUUUGACUUGAGACAUCUAUUCACUUGCAUAUUGUGGUCUUGAGGCUUGACCUAUCAUGGAGGAUAUUGAGCUUAUUAGAUAGGAUAAGAGAUUUGACCUAGGGAGUUUGAGACUAUGACUUAUCUUUUUAUGAUCAGAGUAGUGUCUUACUCACUCUCGCACAUUGACUUUGCUUUGACUUGUAUCCAUCCAUUGUGAGCUUUACACAACAUUACCCUUGACACCAUUAUAUGACUUUUCUAUCCCUAAUUGUUCGAGCUUUGCAUAUUCCCUCUUUGAUCCGACCAGGUAGAGUGUGAAAAGUUUGAGUCUAGGGUUGAUCUUGCAUGGCGAAUGAUGACAUAUGAUCUUUAGGUGGCUUACGACGUGAGGAUUGGUCAAUUACCUGAUGGGAUUGACACUUAUUCUGCCAUGAAUAUAGAGAUUGAUCUUGUAUGAUGAGAAUUAGCUUGUGAUGAGCAGUUGUACCUGAUGAGAUCGUCAUUUACUUUUCUUUGAGAUGAUUACCUUUGAGAUUAUUAUGGAGCAUUUGGAGUAUGGUUUGGCGCAUGAUUCCAGAAGGUUGACAUGGUUAUAUCAAAUGGACAUCGAUUUUUAGGAUCAAUCAUUUGACGGUUUGAGGGCACAAUGUUUGAGACAGUGGUCGCAUGAUGAGUGACCUUCAUUUUGGUUAGCUCACAUCUUAUUACGUUUAUUAACAUUCUAACCAUUGCUAGCCCUUUGAGCCUCACAUGAGUAUUAUAGCAUUUUCUUUCUUAUAGCCUUGCUCACAUUUUACACUGGGAUAGGGGCCCUCUGAUGUAUAUAUGCUUUAUUCGGGAGUCUCAUGAGCCAUGGACUUAUUGACUCAUCUUCUUCAUUAUUUUUUUGUUGUCCUAACAUCAUUUUUCAUCAUACCUCUUUGUUUAUAUCCUUUGUUCUAUCAUUUGUUUUUUUCAUCACGUUUCUUUCUAUGCCAUUAGUGAUGAUCUUUCACAUUUCAAUGCAUGGAGGACAGUCAUAUCCCUCUCCACUCCUAUCUCAUGGACAUUGGUUCAGAGAUCCUUAGUUGAGAAGGUCAUCUUGUUAGAAAGAGUUCUCCUACAUCAUUAUUUGAGAGUAUAUCCAUUUCAUUAUGUAUUCUCAGUGGUGCUCGUUUGUUGAUAUUUAGAGUAUGUGUAAGUAAAAAAUAAAAAAUAAGUGCAUAUAUGUAUGUAUACAGUGUCAUCCUUCAUUGAGGUUGCUUUAUUGAUUUAGUUGCUUAUGAAAGUUCAUAUGUGAACUUUCAAGAGACUUUCAUCUUCUUGUGUCUAUCUCGUUAUGUAUCUUAUGUGUGAGAGACAAAUGACAUUUUCCUAGGGACUUUGAAUUAUUGUCUUCUUCAUUAGUCCAUACGUUGAUGAUUUGACUGUUUUUCAUGACUUGAUUUGAGUAUAUCAGUGCUCACUCAUUUUCGUUCGAUCUAUUUGUUCUUCUCGUGGUAUUUGAUUCAUCUUGCCUACAUUGAUCUUCAUUCAUAUCGAUUUACAUUCUAUGUUUGAUAUUUUCGACACAUCAUUCUUGUACAUCCCAUCAGCAGUUCGAUAUUAUUCAUUUCCUUUCUUUCAUUAGUGAUAUAUUCAUCUGAGAUUCUUUCUUCAUCACCGAUAUAUUCAUAUUGGACGUCUUUAGGUCCAUGAUUUAUGAGACUCUCUGUACAUAUUGCAUUCUACACACGAGGGUAUGGAUUUUGAUUAUUGGGUAUUUGAGCUUUGUUUCCUUUCCUUUUUUUACUCUAUUACCUUAGCCUAUGUUAUGUCUUGGGUCUUAAGACCACCUUGAGGCCAUGAUAUCAUGCAUUGUGUUUUAAUAGCUCUCACAUGGGUGAUAUCUAAGAUUAGUUAGAAAGCAUUUUGAUUGUGAUGGACUAGGAGUUAUGGUAUGACCCUACACUUGGGGCAUAGUCACUUCAGAGAGUUUUUAUCGGGUAUGCAAUCAUUCUGCUUGAUACAUUGCAUUAUGGUGCACACCUUUCUUAGUUAAGGGUUUUUUUUUUCAGAUGACUAUUACACAAGGGCGUACCCCUCUCAGUUGAUGAUGGUUUUUGCUACAUAGCCGUUCCUAGGAGGUGAUCAUUUUCUUCUUUACAUUGGAGUAUGAGAUAUGACUGGGUGAUUUGAUUGGGUUUGUUUAUACGAGAGCAUAACCCUCUCAUUGGUAUUGAUGGAUUUUUGAGUGAUUGGAUCAUGGUGCACACUUGUGAGAGUUAUAUUGGUUCUUAAGCAUUUCGGAGAUCGCCUUACACUAGGACAUAACCCUCUUAUUAGCGAUUGAUCUUAGAAAUACCAGUUCACAUCGGGUCAUGAACAUACUAAAGUGCAUUUUUGUUAAGGCAUACCACUUUGUUUGAUCUUUUUCACAUUGGGACAUGAUCUUUCUUUAGAUGAGGUUAGAUAUUUUCUUCACGUUACCACGAUGACUUUGAGAAGUGGAGAUUCAUUUUGAUUAGAUGAUGUAUGAUUGGUUGUACUUCUUUCAUUGAUGUUUUCUUUAGAGAUGCUUACACUAGGGCAUAACCCACUCAUCGGUGAUGGAUUUUGUGAGAUGAUAGUUUAUGCCAGACACAUACUUCCUAAAGAUUAUCUUGCACUUAGGGCUUACUCAUUUUGAGAGGAUGUAUUCAAACUAGGGUGUAGCUACCUUGCUGAUUUUGAGAUUGAGACUCGACCUUCUAUUUAUAAUUGCUAUUUUUCAUGGAUUAUAGAGUUGUUGACACCCUGGGUUCAGUCUUCUCAGCGUACCUAGUUUGAUUUGGAUAUCCACUUACCUUUGUU
rnacentral:lncRNA from 1 species